rnacentral:lncRNA from 1 species
UUUUAUUAUUCGUUUGGUUCGGGUUAUAAGAACUAGUUAUUUUUGGGAUAGAUAUAAGUUCAGGUGUAAGCCGAAAAUAGAUCAAUUUUACAUUUGAAUGAAAAUUGAGUUAUUUCUGGGAAUAAAAAAAAAUAGCGUUUGAAUAAAUAAGAUAGAAUAAGAAGAAUAAUGAGCAGUUAUAAAUAGAAAAUAAACUCCUGUUGGCCACCUCGAUCCUUGGGGUCACUUUUUUCACCCCCAAUCCACUAGGAGUGCUGGGUGGCAGCCGGGGUGGGCUAUCUUUUGGGCUGUUUAGUGGGCCCCCACCGAGUAUCCGAGCCGGGCCCGCUUCGUUAUUUUUUUGUCAGGCCUUGAGAGCAAUCUUGAGUGCACCAUUGGCCCUUGAGUAGGGUUUCCUUUUCUCUUGUGACAGUUGGGCCUUUUCGGUCACACCUGCAGGGAAGGAUUCAACGGACGGGUGCCGCAUUACAGCAGAUUCUUAUUUUCUUCAGCAACUGCCACUCGGAGUUGUGGGAGCAGCCGCGACCAACUGCACUUUGCUCCCCUCUACUGAUCUGAUUGCUGGGGACUCGGUCUUUUCAGAUGCCUUCGGAUUUCAAUCGCCUUCCACCCCUGAUCUUCUGGUUAGCCCAAACUUUGAUCCGGUUCUGAGUGGGAUCCCAGCGUGUGUGUCUGAGCCGCAGAUACCGGGGGCAAUAGAGCCAGUGCCGUCAGGUAGUUCAAGAGCCUCUUCCCCAGCGAUGGUGCCAAGAACCUGUAAGCGACUCGCUGCAUACCGCAAGCGAUCAAUCCUACACAAGGCAAUGGAAAGGAAGAGCAUUCAGCGUGAGGGGGUUCAGGAGGUUGGGCGCAGAACUCCUGUGGAGAAGAUCACCUACAAGAGUCACCUCUGCGGGGUGGAUUUAGGAGAGAACGAGGCUAAGACCUUCUCCGCUUUUCUGAACGAAUGCAAAUAGGCAGGACGAGUAGGGUUUCUGUAGACUCUUUUUUUGGGUUUUGGUGGUGAGAGUCUAUCUGUUUUUUAUAUGUUUCGCGUCUGUAGCUGGAAUGUUAGGGGGCUCAACGACCCCUCUAAACGGUGUGCCGUUAGGGCCGUAGUGUCUAAACUUCAUAAUGCAGUAGUUUGUAUCCAGGAGUCGAAAGUUGAUCAUGUUUCGAGUUCCUUCCUUAGUAGUUUCGGGGGACCUUUGUUAAACAAAUGUGUUUUUCUUGAAGCCAACGGUGCCUCUGGGGGGAUUAUUACGAGUUGGAGUUCCCGUUUUUUCACUUGCUUGGAGGUCAUCGUAAGGACAUACUCCAUUACUACUCUGCUUUCCUCCACCACGGGCGGGUCUAAGUUUUUUCUCACGAACGUCUACGGACCCGCCUCUUGGGACGGCAAGGAAGAUUUCUUCGCCGAAUUGGUUCAGCUGAAAGAUCAUUGCGUGGGCAAGUGGAUCAUCUGCGGCGAUUUUAACUGUACGAGAGGUCAAGAGGAGCGAAGGGGAAAACUUUGGAGCACCAAAGCCACAAACUUAUUCAACGAGCUGAUCAGAGAGCUUGCCUUGAUUGACCCACCGAUGUCCAACCAAUCCUUCACUUGGUCCAACAUGCAAGCACUUCCAACGUGUACGCGGCUCGAUCGUUUCCUUGUCUCAACUGAAUGGGAUCAUGAGUUCCCCCUCUCCAGAGUUGAAGCACUUCCUCGAAUUACUUCAGACCAUUGCCCUAUCUUGCUAACUGUGGAAAAUUCUGCUAGGGUGAAUCACACGAUCUUCCGGUUCGAGGAGGCUUGGUUGAACCAUGAGGGUUUUACCUCUAAACUUCCGGAUUGGUGGAGGGAGGUUCCACUGAACACGCGGAAUACCCAGAAUAAAUCGGCAGUUUUAACCUUCACAGCGAAGCUGAGACACUGUCGCAUUAGGAUCAAGGAGUGGUGUGCUAAUGAAUUCUACAGUAUUAGAGGAGUUAAAAACCACCUAAUGGAAGAAAUACAGAAGAUUGAUAAAGCUGAGGAACUGGGUGAUUUUUCGAACAACUUAUGCUCUAUGAGAGCGGAACUUAAGGCUAAUCUAGGAAAAGUCUUGGACGACGAAGCUACACUUUGGAGAUCCCGGGCCAAACAGCACUGGCUGCGAGAGGGGGACAGUAAUACUAAGUUCUUCCACGCUGUAGCUAACGGCAGACGCAGAGCUAACUGGAUUGGCACGAUCGUCGAUAACGGUUCCACUUACCAAGCUGAAGAGGAUAAACGAAAUUAUUUUUACCAAUCCUUCAAGUCACUGUUCACUCCUAAGGUAUCGGCCCCACCUUCCUUUGGAAACUGGGACAGGUUAUUCCAAUCCGAUAGCAUUGCGACUCCUGAUUUAGCAAGGUUAUCCGAUCCCUUCAAUUUAGAGGAAAUCAAGAAAGCCGUUUUUCAACUGGGAAGCGACAAGGCGCCGGGACCGGAUGGUUUCCCUUUGAAGUUCUACCAAACGUUUUGGGACACUGUUAAGGAUGAUAUUUUGAGUAUCUUUCAGGAAAUGUACGAGGGAAGGCUCUCCACGGAUGCCAUCGACUACUCUUUCAUUUGCCUUAUUCCUAAGAACGAGGGGGCAGUGCGAGCAAAUGACUUUAGACCCAUAAGCUUGUUAAACGGGAUCCAAAAAAUUUUAUCUAAGGUUUUGACCAAUAGGCUAGACCAGGUUAUGAAGGAUCUGAUAUCCCCGUCUCAGUCUGCUUUCCUGAAAGGCAGGAACAUUACCGACGCUUUUGCAUCAGUUUCCGAACUUAUUGGAUGGGGUAGCAAAUUGUCCGUCGAAGGUGUCGGGAUAAAGGUUGAUUUUGAAAAGGCCUACGACAGGAUUUAUUGGCCAUUUCUUUUCCAAAUUCUACGGUGGUGGGGUUUCAAUGACAAGUGGUGUGAAUGGAUCGAAUCUUGCGUGUGCCACGCGAAAGUGGCAGUACUUGUUAACGGAGAGCCGACCAAAUGGAUAAAGACGAAGAGAGGCGUAAGACAAGGGGAUCCGAUUUCACCUUAUCUAUUCUUACUGGUGGCUGAGUGCCUGGCUCGUUUGACCAAUGAGGCGGCCUCUAACAGUCUCAUUAAAGGCCUCGGCCCGUCCGAGGGAUGUAGGGUCACUCUCACUCAAUUUGCGGACGAUACCUUUUUCUUCUGCGAAGCAAAAAGCAGGUACUUGAAAAAUCUCAGGUUUAUUUGGCGCCUCUUCGAGUGGGCCUCGGGAAUGAAAAUCAACAGGAAGAAGACGGAGCUUUACUAUCUGGGACAGGAGGUCGGUAAAGGAGCCAGAUUAGCAAACAUUUUGGAAUGCAGAGUGGGCACCCUCCCAACCAAUUAUUUGGGUCUACCGCUCUCUCCCAGAUCACCAUCCAAGGAGGCAUGGAUGGGGAUCAUACAAAAGAUACACCGCAGAAUAGAGGGCUGGCAGGCUAAACUACUAUCUAGGGGGGGUAGACUUAUCUUAGUUAACGCGGUACUAACCAACAUACCCCUAUACUCUCUUUCCGUGUUCAAGGCCCCCGCGUGGGUGAUUAAGCACAUCGAAGCCCUUAGAAGGGACUUCUUCUGGAAUGGUGGGCGCAGCACCCCGGGCAAAGGAUGCCUAGUGGCUUGGAAAAACGUUUGUAAGUCCAAAAAGGAAGGCGGGUUAGGUAUCUUGGAUGUUGCGACCAUGAAUCAAGCGUUAUUGACUAAAUGGUGGUGGAAAUUCCACAUUGCACCUGAACUACAGUGGAACAAGUUAAUCCGGGUUCUGUACUAUCGUAGAAGAAAACCACUGAGGGAAGGCAGAUACUUUAGACCUUUCUCUUGUUGGUGGAAAGGUAUCCUUACUUGCAGCACCAUCUUUAAAUGGGGUGCAACCUUUGAACUAGGAAACGGUAAAGCCAUCGACUUCUGGCAGGACAGGUGGUGUGGGGAGAAAACUUUGAACCUUCUGUUCCCAGAAGCUCAUCUCACAACUGAGGGGAAAAACUACAGAGUUAGCGACUAUUUCACGAGGGGUAGUUGGAAUUGGACCAAGAUACUGGGUGCCGAAGUGGGCCGUUUGCAAGGGCUGAUACCGAACCUCUCGGAGCUAGUGGAAAGGGUCUCCAACUUCUCUGUCGGACAUAGACCUGAUAAGAUCCUUUGGCGGUGGAGUUCAGACGGACAGUUUUCGGUCAAAUCGACUUAUUUGGCUUUGACGGACGGCGGGGUGAGAGACGCACGCGCCGCCACCAUCUGGAGUCUCAAAAUCCCCCUUAAAGUAAAAGUCUUUAUCUGGUUGGUCCUUAAGAAAAGAAUCCUGACACGCGAUAGACUUGCUAAGAGAUGGUGGAUCGAUGACCCCACCUGCGUGCUUUGCGGGUCGGACGAGGAAUCAGUGGACCAUCUGUUUACCCACUGUGUAUUCUGCAAAUUCAUCUUGGUGUUAGGGGACGACGAGAUCCAGGCCCAAGACCUGGGGGAUGAGGUGAAUCUUGUUUGGGAUAGGUGGACUGGCAAGAAAGACCCUCUUAAUAAGCGUACCAGACUUGCUGAACUAGCGGGAUGCUGGUGGGUGAUCUGGAAGGUCAGAAACGAUGUAAUAUUUCGGAAUAUUCCCCCUAACCCGGGGAUAGCGGUCCAUAGAUUCAAACUGCUUGUGAAGGAGUGGGAGCUUCUCCUCCGGUCAUAAUUUGUUUUUUUUUUUUUUUUUUUUCUCUCUCUGGGGCCGGGUUGCCUCACAUUUGUAGCUUAGUUCAUAUGAUCAAUGAAUGAAGCGGGUAGCAUGCUACCUCUUUCUCAAAAAAAAAAACAAACACAUCGACUACAUAGAUUAACAUUGUUUAAUUAGUUAUCAUGCCUUAAAGCAGACGCAAAUAAAAGAUCAACUAUACGGAGUUUUUACUACUAGUCUCGUAUGUAUUACUUCACUGGGGAUCAAUAAUCCAGUCCAAUGGAUCAUUUGUUUAUAGUCAGUUUUGCUAAAAAAAGACUUAGGUUUGUUAUCACAUAUAUAUAUAACUAGCAACUAACCCGUGCAAUGCACGGAUUUUAAAUUUAUCUUUUAAUUACAAUUUUUAUAUAAUAUAUAUUAAUUUUUACAUAUUAANUUAAAAUUUAAAUAUAUAUCUUUAAAAAUUAAAAAAAUUAAAAUAAAAUUUUAAAUUUUAAAUCUCAAAUUCAAAAAUUUAAAGUUCUAAAUUUUAAAUUUAAGAUUAAAUUUAAAUUUAAAAAUAUCAAAUAUCAAAUUUUAAAUUUCAAAAAUUAAAAAUAAUAAUUUAUAAUUUAUAAAUAUAUUAAUUAAGAUUAUAAAUUCUUUAAUUUAAAAAAUUAAAAUUUAAAAUUUAAAAUUUUAAUUAUAAAUUUAAAUUUAAAAAUUAAAUUGGGGUGGGAUUAGUUAACCCCACCUGGCCAAUUCCAGGGGGAGGUGGGGUUUGUUAACCACACCCCUAACGGGUUAUUCCGGAAUAACCCGUUAGGGAUGGGGUUAACAAAUUCCACUCAUUGAAAAAGGUGUUUGGGGAUUAAGAGGGGAAUAACUCCUUAAACCCCCUCCUGACCCUCAACCAAACACCACCUGAGUCCAAUUUUUACCACUCACAUGUAGGAAUGUUACUUUUUCACUGCAUGAGUGAUAAUUGUAAAGUGAUUGAGACACCAAAAAAAUAAUAAUAAUAAUAAUAAUAAUAAUGUUGGAGUUGUUUGUUUCAAACAAAAUGAUAAGAUCUGUUAUUAUCAGCCUCUUUUUGCAAAGUAAAAGAAGAGAUUGAUGAAAACCUUUUGAUGCAGACCCUUUUCACCUGCUUCUAAAAACUCCUGAUGAUGCACAGAUUGUUACGUGUAUUAUAUAUCGACAUGUAAGUACAUUAAUAAAAACUUCAAAUACCAUCUCUGUGAUUUUGCAUUUUCUCACUUUAGUAUCCUGUGGUUUAAAGUGUAUCGAUUUAGUACUCCGUGGUUUUAUUUUUUCUUUUUUAUUAUCUCCUUCACUAAUUUUUUUUUUAUUAAAUCAGUGACAAAGUUAAAACUAAAAGAGACUAAAGUAAAUAUUCGAUAAAUUUAGAUUGGGUAUGAAAAGUUUUUUUUGUAUAUAAUUUAACGAAAUAUUAACAGAGGAGUUGAUGAAAAGAAAAAAAUGAAAUCACAGGAUACUAAAUUGAUACACUUUAAAUCAUAUGGUACUAAAAUGAGAAAGUGCGAAACCACAGGUAUGGUAUUUGAAGUUUAUCCUAAAUUUUUAGUAGUAAAAAAAAAGAUAAGACAAGUGACAAAAUAUGAGCCACGGAAGGAUUAAGAUAUAAAAUUUAUAGGGAUGAAAAUGGUGUCGAUUUUUUGACGAAACCAUGUCCGCAUCUGUAUCUUUCUUCGGGUGCAAAAAUGUGUCGUAUGCCAAAUCUUCGAUACUAUAUCCGCUUAAAACGGAUUUGAAUUCAGAAUGAAUCGAAUUCGUAUUCAAAUACAAAUAUUAUUCCGAUAAUAAUAUAUACUAAUAAGCAUUUAUAAAUAUGAACUAAAAUUGGCAUAAAUAAAACACAUAAUUGCAUUAAAACUUUAUAUUUGUAUUCAAACUUCAUAUGCCUAUAUCUUAUUCAAUAAAUUAAAUAUUUUAAAAAAAUGUAAAUGUAUUUUUUAAUAUGAAGUUCAUUGUAAGGUAAAGGAAAAAUAAGAUAAAAAAUUACCUUAUUUUCCUACAAUAUAUAUUAACAUCUUUCUUAUCUUUUAAGAAUGAAAACGGUCAAAUAUGAUCAAAUUUUUUAGAAAAUCAUAUUUGAAUCAACUUUUAAAAUUUUUUUAAAUAUAAAUUUGAAUACGAAUAUGUAUCAGAUAUUAAGCUUUGAUAUUUAUAUACGCAUUCUAUCGAAUCUGAUGUGAAAUUUCAACCUGCUUCAUAGGUGAAUGGGGACAGGUUUUGUACUGCAGUGCAAUUUUGGGGUGCAAUUAAUUAUUCCGUACAUCGAGACAGAAUUGGUAAUUGGACAUGGCAAUUAUUCAUGACCUAGACUAUUAAAAGAAAAAUUACAGUUUAAAUAAAAAUUAUAUAUUUUUUGUCACAGCUAUAAAAUUGUAGUUCUCACCGUUCUGAUUUUUUGUAUAGUAAUAAGUGAGUGAUGUAAAAUCUAAAAGUCACCAUCAUUAAUAUUUUAUUAUUUUUGUCGCUUUGUUUUUGUAAUUGAUUACGAGAUGCUGAAAGGUUUGAGUUUUGACCAAAAGUAAAAUUACAAUAAAAUAAACAACAAAACUUAAUAUUUUACGUCUCUACUUCCGAUGAAAUAAAUACUCCUCAAGCUUAUUUGUUUCAACGAAGGUGAAAUUUAGCUGGAAAUAGACUUUCGAGUAAACUAGAUUUCAAGUAAAAAUUAGCUUUCUUCCACUAUUUGUAUGUAUAUUUGUGAAUCUAAAAUUUUUCCGAUUGUUCUACUAUGUAUUUAAAACAGAAAUAAAGCGUUAAAUGCAUUCAUGUCUCUGCAAAUAUAGUGAAUUGUAAAUAUGUCCCUACAAAAUUUAAUUUUUAUAUAUUUUUUCUGCAAAAAUUUAAUGUUUUUAAAUAUGUUCCUCUAGUUAUAGAACUGUUUAUAUUUUAAGUGAAAUGUCAAUUUUAUCAUCACAAAUAUAUCUCUCCAAAAACCACAACAGUGUAAUAAAUAAGAGGGGCAAAAAUGUAAAGUUAUCUCAUAAAUUAACCAGAGUUAAGAAUUUAACCUACGGUUAAUUAAAAUUUUCUAACCAAUUCUAACGGCAUGGACAUAUUUAAAAACAUUAGGAUUAGGAUUUUUAUAGGGACAACAUAUGAAAGUUGAAUUUUGUAUGGAUAUAAUUGUAAUUCACUAUAUUAGCAGAAACCUAUAUGAAAUUAACUCUAAAAUAAAUAACGAAAAAAAUGAAUAUACAAGAAAUAGGCUAAUAUUUUAUUAUUCUUUUCUUAUCUUUUCUUUCCGUAAUUGACUAUAGUAUUUUCAAAAGUUAUCAAAAUUAAAUUACGAUAAAUCAAACACGAACAUUCACAUUCACGGUCGAAAAUAACUUCACCCCUUUCUCGAUGACCGCGAUCCAAUUUUUCUCUCUUAAAAGUUUAAAUUCAAAUCUACAAUUGAAUUUAAUGUGCUCCAGAAGCACCAUCUAGAGGACAUGUAAAGGUGACUAACUUUCUAUACAAAGAAAAGAGUAAAACACCACGCCUUGAAUUUAUUAUAUUAUCUAUUAUUAUAUACUAAAGUGCGUGGAAUGGUUUUCUUUUAUUGAGAUGUAGCUCUACUAUUCAGUACAUCCGGUGCAUUGUAGACCAUGGAUUGUAGACAUAUAAAUGGUUUAUAUAUAUAUAUAUAUAUAUAUAUAGUNNNNNNNNNNNNNNNNNNNNNAGCUGGGCCCUCAAGUCACGGACCUCACUAGAUCCGGAAGUAGCGGAGGUCUCAACCUCCUCGGGGUGUGCCGCAUCAUCCGCCCCGGCAGACUGGGAGCGUGUAAUCGGCAUCGUCACUACAAAGCAUAAAAGCGCAAGUUAGUAACCCACGCUAUCGCAUCCCCGCUCAAAUAGAUAAAACCCCAAAUCAUGCGAAAGUAAGGAAGUGUCCUUCACUACUAACUUCCGAUGUUACGUUGUCGACCGCCAACGUAACCCUCCGCGAUGUUAGAAGCCAUACACUCCGAUCAAACUCUAACUUUCUAGAGUUGUCAUAAUACCCAAUCAUGAUACUUUCGCUCACAAGUCGAAUAGACCUCGUCUCUCACGAGCAUAUUUCCUAUAGUCCAACCGGCCUAAGGUUUGCUAGAUCCCCUAAGACUCAACCCUAGGCUCUGAUACCAAAUUAAUCUGUCACGCCCCGGGACCGGCGGAGGCCCUCCCGGUAGCGUGCCCGGACCCGCCAUAUGUCUACACAUAUAAGGCGUCUAGAAUAAAAGCGAAAGUAAAAGCAAGUAGUAGACAACUAGAAGAAGUGAAAUAACAAGCAACUAAUGAUAUCAGAGCGAAUAUAGUUCUAACAUCUACACCAAGGUAAAGAAGUAAAGCUGGUCAAUAAAAAGAGUCAUAAGAAGUACAAUAACUGUCACUAGUACAAAAAUGGUGGUCUCUAGUACACUGGUAAAACACUCAACCUCUUGCAAAAAUAGAACAAAAAUCGAGAGGUAGACCACCUAGCAACUCGUCCUCGAAGGAAGCUAGCUCGAAGCAACUCCCUUCCCGCGAUCCCUGGCCUCACCCUGAGUGGAAGGCUCUGUAAAACAUCGAGAAAAAGAGGGCGUGAGAACUAUAAUUUAUAGUUCCCAGUGGGCAAUUACUGACCUCAGCUCAAUGCACCACUAGGCCCCAAAGGAAAAGGGUAAGUACUAAAGCAAUAAUAAGAGUAAUAGCAACAACAAUACGAAAGCAUAAAUGAAGUGCUAAACCGCUAUAUCUCAAGUAAAACAUGAUGUCAUGGUGGUGUACAUCUACGCUGUCAUAAGAUAAUAUAUCCAAUGCAUACUGUUAUGUCUCGACAUGAUAAACAAGUAAACCUCACAAUGCAGUAUGUCGAUGCAUAAAGAGUAAACUCUAACCAAGCAACCGAGUAUACUACGAUACAAUAAUGAAACCGGCAAGUAUGCUAUAUGCACCAAUGCUAUAUCAUGAGCAUGUCAAAGUAAUCCAACUACUAAACCUAUCUAGUAGUGAUUAUUCAUUCUCAACCCUGUGUCGAAUUCUAUUUCCAAUUAAGGACCCACCCAAGGUGGCCCAGCUUGUGCCGCCUAAGUGCCCGUGGUAGCCCGACAUUCCUACUCUUGGAAUGUGUCUGUCCCACUCAACCCCGUAGGCUUCUCAAUACCGCACGAACGAACAUAGUCGCGUAGGCUAACUCCGGAGUGCCGGCUUGUAGGGAGCGACUCUCACAAGCAUGUGCGAAUGAGCACAAAUGGCAAGCAAGCAUAGUCCAAAUCUCAAAUGUCCAAUCCUCAUGUCUCUAACAUGGUAUGGUCACUAGCAUCACGAAGAUCUAGUUUAAGUCAAAAUGUGGAGUUUCAACAUUUGCUACGCCUAGUGCCCCUUGAUGACACUUAGGCAAUUUGAUGUUCAACAUGUAUUUCAAAUCCCUCAAUGGCCCUAUCCACUAGGUUCUCACAUAUCCCGAGCUCAAUGCCGCUUGAUGACAUUAGCUCUUUAAAUCACAUACGAUUCAAGUUUGGGGACCCAAAAUGGCCAAUGUUGUUAUCUUUCCUGUCUCAAUUAAACUUAGGUUUAAAUGCAAGAAUCAAAACUCAUUUACACUAUAAGCAACAUGGCCAACAUAAGAAUGCUAGAAAACCCCGCAUAAGCUUCAUAUGUACUUUUUUACUACAUAGAGGUCCAAAAUUUUACUACAUGUGACAUGGGUAUUUUAAGCAUUCCAAAAAUCAUAAUAAACGCAUGUGACAUGAUUAUGCAUGAUUUUCCAAUUUACAAAAUAUAAUUCACCAUAUAUGAGAAUUUCUCAUAUUAUAGGCUAGGUCAAACCCACCAAAAUCGAAACUCUCGAUCCGCCGAACGAAGGUUUCGGCAAGCUCCCAAGUACCCUAAGAGCAACAAAAACGGGGUUACCCAAACGAAACGAAGAGCGAAAAGCUCAAACAUUAAGCAUCUAGCAAAAUGGGCAAAACUCACCUCAAGAGAAGAAAUCUCUUCCUAUGCUCCAAAAGAGAGCUAGAACCCUUCCAUUCUAACCUAGGGGAAGGUUCUAAUCCAACCAAUUGAGCUUCAAAAGCCCUAAAACGAAAAUGCCCAAAAUAAACCCUAAAACACCAAAUCUAGGGUUUCAUCUCAAUGAAACCUUCAAAAACCAAAUCUAGAGGGAAGGAUCUUGUCUCUUACCUCUUAGAAGCUUCAAACCAAGCUCAAAGUUCCCAAACUUCAAGAAUAUUCCCUCAAUCAAGCUCCAAACCUAAGCUCCAAGCUUCAACAAUGGUGGAAAUAGCUCCAAAAUGCAAAAGAGAGGGAAAAAAUCCAUCAAAACCCAAGCAAAAAGGUGAUCAAAACCAAAGGGAGGAGAAGAGGUUCUCCUUACCUUGCUUCUCCACGGAUUCCAGCUCAGGGAGAGCUCCAUGGGGCGUGGGGACACAUAUAAGAGUCCACAAAUGCGAAAAACCCCCUGCAGUUUCGAACAGUUCAAAAAUCUGCACUGCGUACCGGUACACGGGCCCGCGUACCGGUACACAUCCCACGAAAAUGCCAAACCCGAGCCUCGGGUUGGCUGAAAGGCUGCCCGUGUACCGGUACACACUCCCGUACCGGUACAACCAUCAAGCCUGUACCGGUACAGCCAUCAAGCCUGUACCGGUACAGCCAUCAAGCCUGUACCGGUACACAGCCCAAUAAAGGCUACCCGAGAGCUAACAAAAAAUCCAACUUUUUGGAUGUUGGUACACCGCUUCAAACCACAAUUCUCGGGACUCGAACCAUGGGUCGGAACACUGUCUACGACCCUUCAGAAAGUCUGAGAUGGCUCGCCACACAGAUCAAACACUCGAACCUCGCAAUUUGCAAAGGUCCAGUGCGUCACAAUAGUAGCCCUACUCAUAUAUAUACCAUAUACUAUAUCUAUAGAGAGAGAGAGAGAGAGAGAGAGAGAGAGAGUUCGGCUAUUGUACUCUUAUGAGUACGAUCGCCUUCGUACUCAUAAGUUGUUUUCGAUGAUACAGCUUCCGAAUCGACGAUCCAUACCGUUAAACAUUAUCUAGAGCAUUUAAAACUUUUAGAAAUCAAAUUUUAUAAUUUUUCGAUAUCAUUUACCUUAUGAUCAAAAGCUCACAAAAUUGACAAUUUUUAACGACUGAUAUGAGAUAUUUACUAGUUUAACGGUGAAAAAAAUUGGAAUAAGUUGAAUUUUUGAUAGAAAAUUUUAUUCACUACAUAAAUAAAAAUCAAUAACUCUAAUCUUAAAUUGAAGGAUCCGAUCAUCUAUUUUUAAGAUGUCAUUCGAUUUUAAUCGUUCUUUUUAUACCCUCUUGAUGGACUUUAUAAUGAUUUUAAAAAAUUACAAAAUUUAUUUUCUAGAAGUUUCAAAUAAUCUAGAUCAUUUUUAACGGUGUGGAUCAUCAAUUCGAAAUGUCCAACAUCGAAAAUAACUUAUGAGGACGAAGGGCUCAAUACUCAUAAGAGUAUAGUAGCCCUACUCUAUAUAUAGAGAGAGAGAGAGAGAGUUGAGUUAGAAUACUCUCAAAAGCACUAAGGGUGUGGUACCUUUGAGUUUUUUACCAUUUGAUAGAGAGAUGUAGGGUUGAAAUGAUGGUGAUAAUGAUAGUGGUAAAUGAUGUCGAAAAAUUAUGAAAUUCGAUUUCUACAUAGUUCCAAUAACGUAGAUUAAGCCUAACAGAACAGAUCGUCAGAUCGAAUAUCCUAUCAUCAAAAACAACUUACAAGUAUCGAAACAUUCAUACUUUCAAAAGCACAUAGACCUAACGGGCUCUCUCUCUCUCUCUCUCUCUCUCUCUCUCUCUCUCUCUCUACUUCCGUAGUUUGUUUAAUAGGAACAGAAUUGGAAGCUUUUUUUCAUUUCCUAUUUUUGUUUCAUGUAAAUCGCUAGAUAUUAACCCCAAACCUGUUGGAAGUGAAAAUUCUCUACACCGACUAAAUUACUAUUUCUUUUUGUUGUUUCUCACCUGGCGUAAAUAACUUCUGGAAUACUUGGGCCUGUUUGUUUGCAAGAAAGUGAAGUGGAAGUGAAAGGGAGGAAGUGAUUUUCGGUGAAAACUGAUCACUUCCGUUGUUUGAUUCGUCGUAAAAAAAUUACAGUCGAAACUCCAGCUAACCUAAAAUGGUGUAAUUGACUUCGGCCCAUCGUAGACCGAAAUCAAUUACGGUGAAAAGAGAUAAAGAAAAAAUAAUAAAAUAAUAUAAUAAGUAAAGAUAUUUAUAUUUAAAUAUAUUUAAUUAUGGUACUAAUUAUUUUUUUAUUCAUUUGACAUAUUUAAAAUAUAAUAAAAAUUGAUUAGUUAAAUUUUAAUAUUUUUUUAAUUAGUUUGUACAAUUAAAAUAUAAUAAAAAUUGAUUAAUUAAAUAUUAAUAUUUUUUUACUUUAUAAUUUUAUUGUUGUAUUAUUAUAAUUUAAAUAAAAAAAUAAAUUUAGUUGUUUUAAAUUAAAUUUUAAUUAUAUACAAAUAUAAUUAUAUUAUUUUUAUUUAUUAAAUUAUUUAUUAUUAUAGGACAAUUUCAUCACUAGCCCUCUCAAAUAUGUAAAUAUCAUAAAUGCUCCUACAAAGUUGAAAAAAUCAUAUAUACCCCUUUAAAUGCAAAAAAAAUUCACAAGCACCCUUCCUUCCAACUGCCGUUACCAUAACCAUGAUUAAAAUUUGGUUAAGGGUUGAGUUAUAAAAUGACUAAUUUAGCCCUAAAAAGGUUAAGUAUUAUUUUGCCAGCAAAUAAUUAAGGGGCAAUUUCAUAAGUACCCUUCUAAAUUUUGAAAAUAACAUCUGUAGCACAAAUUAUUAGUGGGUAAAAAAAAAAGAAACUCCUCACCAAUAUAUCAUUUUGAACUAGAUCCCUUUAAAUUUUAUUUUUAACAUUAAGGGCCCUUGAACUACCAAUUUUUCUUUAUUUGGACUUUACUUAGUUAAAAGUUUUUCAAUUGAGAUCCCUCACAUGAAUUUGAUAAAAUUUUUAAUUUUGUUGGGAAAAAACACUCAAUUACUAAAAUUUAAAAAAAACACUUAGGUUGAGAGGGUAUAUAUAUAGAGAGUUUUGUUAUAAUACUAUCGGUAGUACAGCUUGAUUUACUACGAUUUGUUUUCAAUGAUAGAAUUUCCAAAUUGACAAUCGGCACCGUUAAACAUGAUAUAAACCAUUUAAACUAUCUGAAAGUUAAAUCUCACGCUUUUCCGAGUUAGGAUUAUGUCGAAGUGGACUAUAGAUGAGAGGGUUUUCAUAAAAUUUUACUUUAUUGUUAACAAUAAAUUUUCAAUUAAAAAUUUUUUGUUUGAGCAGAUCAUAUAAGUAAUACUCUAAUAUCAAGAAUUUUGAUAUCAAAAUAUUUUUAGCGUGAGAUAUGUGAGUUAUUUAAAUAAUAUUUUAAAAAUAAAUCUUUAAAUAAUUAAUGUUGAAUAUGGACAAUUAUAUUACAACUAUAUAUAAUUUAAAAGUAAAAAAUCAUAAUGAGAUUUAACUAUCACACUUAAUAGACUAUAGAUUUUUAAUUAUAAAAUUUAAAAAAAAUGUUAAAUUAUUAUGUGAUUCAAAAGUUAGAAAUUGAUCAUAUAAUUAAUCUUUAAAUAUUACAUGAUUAGAUUCGUGCUAGGGAUAAAAUUGGUAUUUAUAAAAUAUUGGAUGACUUCUUGACGAAAAGUUAAUCUAAAGGAUAUCUAUGAAUAUUUUUGGUUUAAAAAGGAGUAUUGAUGAUAUUUUGUAGUCUAGAGGGGUAUUGAUGAAAUUAUCCCUUAUUUAUAAGGGUAUUUAUGAAAAGUAAAAAUAUAUCCGUUGAGGUGGUACAGGAGUAGAAAUGAAAUUUACAACUUGUUUUGUUAGAUUCUCACAACACAUUAUGCAUAGGGGUAUUUAUAAAUUUUUUUUGAAUUUAAAAAGCCAUUCAUGAUAUUUUUAAUUUUAGAGGAGCAUUGAUGAAAUUUCAGCGUCCUAUAAGAAUAUCCAUGAAAUUUUAUCUAUGAAAUUUUAUCUAUGAAAUUUUCUCUAUUAUUUAUAUAUAAAUUAUAGUUUUAUAUCAUAUACUUCCUACCAAACAAACAACGGAACUAAUAAAACUUUAGUUUCAUAAUUACAAAACAAAUAGCGAAAAAGUAGUAGUUUUCACCGAACUCCACAUAAACCCAAAGCCCAAUUUCGGUGAAACAAAAAUGCCCUAAGCUAAACACCGAAAAAUGACUAUUUACAGCCAAAGAUGACUUCAUCCCUCCCACCUAGGGCAAACCAAACAUAAUACUCUAGUGGCAGAUGUCAUUCAAAAUGAAAACCUGAUGAAAUUGAGAUAACUUAGGACUGAUUCUAAUUACAUGUUACUGACAUAUUGAUCUAAUAGAUACGAUCGAUGUGAUCGGAAAUGACGGAAAACCAAUCGUAACACAACCAAAAACAUCGACCGUCCCUAGCGCAAGUGGCAAAAAGGUUUGAUGGUUGGUAUCAGAGACCCAAAUUUGAAUCCUAGUUGAUUCACAUUUCUAGCUAAGUUUAUUUCUAAAUGAAAUAAACGAAGCGGAUAGCAUACUAUCUUUUUCUCAAAAAAAAAAAAAAAAAAAAAAAAAAAAAAAACAACAACAACAACAACAAUAACAACAACAACAACGCAACCAAAAACCUGGAACUGAUAGUCUAUGAACUACAAGAAGUUUGGAGGGAGUGUGACCUCUCUUUAUUCUUGAAGGUAAAUGAACCAUCAAAUUCAUGAGGUACACAAUUAUUACAACUGAUAGUACUACUUUUCGUCUUGUUCACAUUUAAAAAGCACUUUUUUCAUGCAAUGCUCAUAUUUUCCAAACUUAGAACGUAGUAUUUCAACUCUUUCACAUUUAUUAUCAAAGGAGCUCACACUGCAUCAAGUACUUGUCUAAAAUCAUACAAUAGCACAAGCCAUUACCAAACGAAAUGCUAUGUCAGAUAUGCAUCUAAAGCUUGGGAUGUGCAACCUAAGGUUUGCGGCAUUUUGUUACAUGAGUAAUGCUAUCUGUACACCCAAAAGUAGAUAAAAAUCUUCCGGCCCACCCAUCCAAAGGUUAAUUUUACCACACUAGUCUUCUCACAACUUUUUUUUUAGUACUAAAAAUCCAAAAGAGUUGUCAGUUGUUUCGAUCAUCAGAUGAAGAGGGUGUAAGAUAUAUGCCGGCCCACUUUUGGAUGUGCGGAGAGCAUUUCUCUUGCUAUAUAUGGUCUCAAUACUUGGCCAUGCAAAAGUUAAUUGCAAAUGCAAUGGCAAAGGAAGAAAAGCUAACUACAAAUAAAUGAGAAAAGCAACCAUGUGUACCAGAAACAACAAAGGUUGAAACAAAGGAGCCGCAAAUGUAUCCCUGUGAAAUUUCAAAAAUACCUCUGUAGUCCUCCAAAGCUGAUUAAUAGCAUAUUUCUCCUCAAAAUAGAUUCCAACUGCGAAAUAUAAAAAUUUAAAUAUGCAGGUCGAAGUUAAUUUGGGGGUGAAAUCAAAUAGAAAAGAGGCUUCAGGGUUUUCGGUUCUGAUAACACGAGAUGUAUUAGGAGCAACUCAAGGCUAUCUAAGACUUCCAAACUAAGCAGGCAAAUUUCUGGUAAACCACAUGUGCAAACUAGUACAUUCAAAAAGGCCGGAUUGAUCUCAACUAGUAGUGGUGAUCCAAUGGGUCAGCUGAAAGACGGAAUGAUCACUAUGCUCAGUUAAAGCAAUAUUGGAGAUGCCACCUCCGAGUAAUUUGGAGGUGUUAAGGUCUCAUCAAGGUCACUAGGACUAAUAUCAGAAGAUUCAUAUCAAAUAUUUCUAGUUGUCUUCACACUUUUUCCAGACUUACGAAGAAAGGGGUGGAGAUCGCAUGGGAUGAAUCCUGCCAGAAUGCACUCAAUAGCAUCCGACAAUAUCUGCUAAACCCACCUGUGCCGGCUGGCACCAAUUAAAGGAAGGCCACUUAUUUUGUACACUGCUGCUAUCACUUAAAGCCCUCUUGGCCCAACAGCAUGAAAGAAGGCGAGAUCACCCAAUGUGCAGGAAAUUUUUUGCAUACAGGGACUGCAGGAAACCUACACCCCUGUUUGAUGCAGUUAUUAAUCUGAAGAAUUUUGUCAAUCGGAUAUCUUAAGAGCAUGAUCAACCAGUUAAAUAACCAUGAUUCAGAUUCCAUUUUUAGUCAGAACUUGCAUCUUAACUUUUGCGUUAUUUUUCAGCUUACCUAAUUUUUGCACUAAUUCAUGUCCUAGUGUUGAGAAUAAUUAGGGUUAAUAUAAGCUGCAGUAAACAGGCUCUAUAUGCAAAGAAAACAAACUCUGAUAUAGCAUUUCAAAUCCUAGAAUAGUAUGCACUUCGAAGGCCCAGAGAGAAAUAUUAAUAUAAGCAUAUGGUGCACAUCAAACAUAACUACUCGAGGAAGUUUUAGAUAUUGUACAUACAAAGAACAAGGUAAUUCAAAAGCUGAUUUUCAUAAAAUAUUUAAAAAGAAAGCGGAACUAGAGCACGGCAACACAAAAUUUACUGACCCAAAAGAGUUUACACAGCUUUAGGGAUGGCAACAGCUUCUGGCGCUGGCAGGGUUACUGAUCUCAGCAGUUCCAACGAGCAAACAAGCCCCAGAAAAUGCGAAAGGAUGGUAUUGGCUGAAGCCUGAUAACAAUUAAAGCAAGUUAGAGAACUACUUUCCAACAGUUGUCAUAAUUAAAAGAUACUAAAGUUUCAGAGAUCUAGUCAUAGCAAAAGCUGAGACUACAGUUUCCAAGAACUAUUUUUAUGGAAGAAAUUAACCAUUUGAUAUCUAUGAAACAACCAAUUAUAAUAUAUUAGAAAAUAGCAUUUUCAUAUUUUAUAUUUAACACUCCCCCCUCACAAUUGGGCUCAAGACAUGGAGUAGAAUUUAAUGGGAGAAAAUUCGAUGAACUAGUAGCCUAGUUGAUUAAAACUUAGGAACUCCUGCUUUGAUACCAAUAUACCAUGUGAAAUAAUUAAUUACUCAAAAAGCAUAAGCUGCCAGGGAAGAAUGGUUCAACAUUUUCUAUUCAACAGAUACUUCUUCCAAAAGCUCUAAUUGUUGAGAUGAUAACUGCGCAAAGUCUUAUAUAUGAAUAGGAAGGAAAAAAAAACAUAUGAUUGAUUAAUCAAACGCGAUCUUUGUAUAGCAUGCAAAGAACAAUUAAGUAGGAUAUUCUAGAAAAAGGAAAAUAUCUCUGUGAAGGGUAGAAAGAACGUAACAAACAUUGAAUACAACAGCCAAUAUUGAAAUUCAAAAUGCAUGAAUUUAAUCAAAUAACAAUAAAGAGCUAGAAGUAGACGCAACUGGUUAUAAAGAAUGUCUCAUAACUAGUACUUUCUAUUAGAUUUCAAACAACUUACCAUGCAUUUUUUUUCAUGUCAAUGGUGAAAGCAGUAGAAUUUAUUUAUCAAGAUAAAUAUUUCAUACUUUAUUAAUGAAGACUAUAAGCUGCAAGCUAAGUAACACAUUUAAAGCUGCAGAUUUAGUACCAAACAACCAGAAAUUUCAAGAUCUAAGAAACAAUGAACACGAUGUUCGUGAUAAGCUGGAGACAAAUGCUGCUGCACUUCGUAGAGGAGAAGAAAUCUGAUUUAAGAAUUAUUUAUCUUUGUAUAUUUACCACAAACACAAAACGAAAAAGAAAAAAAAAACACCUGCAGCUGAGCUCAUUAUAGCUAUAUGUUACUCCUACCAAAGAAAACAGAAAUUAAUAUCUAUUGUUGGGUGGAGAGAGGAGUAAAAAAAGGCAAAUGUAUUACCAAGAAAAUGCCAAGGAAAAAUGAGAGAAAAUGACUUUAUAAUCAAGUACAGGAUUAUUAUAUACCUGUACUAAGAAAACAUCUAACGCCAACACAGGACUCCGACCAGGGGGUAUCCCCUGAUAGUAUGGAACUGCUGAGGUAGUAAGGGCUUUUGCAACCAAUAACCCAACGGUUGCUUGCAUGCCAAGAACUGCAGCGCCCAUUCCGAGAAGAUUAACCACUAUACCAUUCUUCAGACUUUUAACCACAUCAGCACGUGGAGGGGCCUAGAAAACAAAAGAAGUGUAUAAAAAUUCUGAAGUUAAAUGAAGCACCAACAAAAGAAUCUAACUGACUGUUGUUUUUAAUCCUAUGGUGUUAGAAAUAAACUAAAAUUAAUUUUCCACCAAUGUAUUAGGAGACUUGUAUGAUCUCCCUGAUCAUACCUCUCCAAAGCUAUUUGUGGCACUCUUAGUUUUUACCCCUUCGAAUUUAUAGAGAAGGUUCUGCCUCACACUUUUGUUAUGUGACACAAUAGUAAUAUAAACACAAAACAAUCAUAGAGGUUAGCAUUGCAAGAAAGUUUGUCGAGGUCAAUGAAGACUUAAGCACCAGGAUAAAAGAAUAGAAAAUAUUGAUAUGAAACUCUCAAUCAAGCAUUCUUUCUUUUUGAAGAAAAAAAUUUUAUCUUCGCGAAAGGUGACAAACAAAAAGCUACACAAACUGCUAACUAAUUUUGUAGGAUAACAUUUUGGUAUUUUAGAAAUUUUGUAGGAUAACAUUUUGGUACUUUAGAAAUUAACAUUUUGUAGGAUACACAAGUACUUUGGAGUUUCAUACAAGCAGAAGCUACAGGGCACGCAAAAGAAGUGUCAUUUUUGAAAUGCAAGGAAUGAGAUGGCUUCCAAAAUCCUAAACCCUACAGGACGGUAUAUUAUUUCUCUGUAAUUAUAACCUAUCAUUUGUGUAAUAACUGAUGUAGAAUGACUAUGCACUUAUAUAUGUUCAUUUAUACAAGUAGUUGACAUCUGAAACAGGAUAUCAAAUGAGAUUUCGGCAACAGAUAACAAAUUACUCACUAUUUACUAUUAGUGCUUGAAUAUUUAUUCAAAUUUUCCAAUUCAGCAACCAUGUCAAACAGCAUAACAUUGACAGCCAGAAAAUGCAAGGUUAGAGAGAGAUAGAGAGAGAGAGAGAGAGAGAGAGUACCUUGGCAGGCUCAUUGGCCGUUCUUUUAAGCCUUUCAGAGAGACGGAUGUAACCAAACGACCAGAAGACUGACACAAAUGCAGCAGCAAUACUGCCAGCAGUGGUGUAAAAUGUGAUUGGUGAUGUGACCUUGCCAGUAACAAGUGUAGAGAACGAUAAUAUCACAGCAGAUACAACUGUGCACACCAGCUGUCCCCAGAACCCAAGGCUACCCAACCGUUUAAAGUAUCGGGAUGUAUUCUCUAGUCUUUUCGAAACCUACUAAUUAAGUCAAAAAGUUUAUAUGAAAAGUGACAGAAGGUUUGUGCAAAUAAAAUAUGAACAGAAGUUUUGUAUGAUAAGAUGCAGGUUAAGCUACUCAAACAAACUGCAGCACUGAAGACUAAAACUUAUAAUGAUAGUUUUACAUAGUUUUGUCAAUAUUUAUCCCUGAAAUCUUUCAAUUUGCAUUUUUAUACAUCAGUUCCACAAAUUUGCAUAUUCAUCGAUCCAUGACUUCCUCAAAUAUUUUCUCUUUGCGUUAUUGUAAUUAGAAUUCAGUAUUCUUCUUAGAUGCCAGUCUAAGAAAAAGCAACAUAACUAAUGACUAAAACUGCCUUAUCUUCUUCCACCAUCUGUUCCCUAGUGUUUACUAGUCAACUCGUCUUUAUAAAAGGUGUCGGGUGACAAAUUCGUUGAACUUUCCAGGUACAUCCAGACUGAAAAUCCUUUAUAACACAACAAAGAUAUAGGCUUUUUUUCUGCUCAAUUUUGAAGGCACUUGGAAUAGGCUUCUCUAUUCUUGUUAUUGUUCGUUUGCAAACUCAUCUUUAUGAAAUAGCUAGGAAAUAAAGAGAAUAAAUAAUAUAUCUUCAUUUUGUUGUCAAACACAAUCCAUAAGAAUAGAGACCGUAAAAAACUCACAAUAGCAAUAUUAGAUAAGGCCAUCCCUAUGUUCCCUCAGCCAUGUAGAACUUGAUAAAGAAACAAACAAUGCCCAAUGAACGGUAAGACUCUUCUUUGUUUAACACCUCAAAGUUCAUCCUACAACUAACCAAUAAGUUACAGACAUAUGUAAAUGUCAUUUUGACCGAUGAAGACUAAUAGAGAAAGAUAUAUAACAUUGUUAGAUAUAGAAUCAAGACUUGUUUCCUCAAUGGAUUAAAUGUAUGUUUAUCCUAAUAUACUUCUCAAAAGGCUAAAACACAAGGAAGUCCCCUGUAUUCAUCGCAAUUUGCACUUUACGCCCACCCACUCCCCUCAAUAAUCAAAACCUAAACAUUGUUGCUCGAUAUACUAAAACCAUCCUGCAUUUUACAACAAACCCCACCCCCUUAACCACCCAACACGCAGAACAGGGCGAAGUACUACAACUAUAUGAAUCUUGGGGCCAUCAAUAGGUUUAGAUGAGUAACCAUACUUACGCAUUAUAGAACAGUUUACUAAUCUGCUAAACUGUCAGUCUUCAAUUGGGUAGUUGGUACAAUUCACAAGGAGGAUGGUAUAUUUCAGGCAUCGAGUUGUAAUUACAAAACCCAAAUGAAAAUAAAAAUCUACCACAUGUUGUACAACCUUUUAAGUGGGGAAAGUUUUCUGGUUUCCAUUAUCGAGUGGGUAAAGGGCAAAUCAGGAUACAUCCAAAAGUAGGUUUUCUGCAUGUUAGCAAAAAAUUUCAGCAAACAGUAGAUCCUUCGAAAGCACUACGCAUUCAUCUCAUCUGUACUCGAUCUCUCAUUCAUCUCAAAACCCUUUGAAUUGUAUUCCAAAAUCCCUUUCGAAGAAACCCAACUCAAAUUAAACCUAACAACGCCUCCCAAAUUUACUCCAUUCCACCUCCCCAUUCAAUUCACCACAUAAGAAUAGACUUUUAUUGCCAAAAACAACAAGAAAAAUCCACAAUCACAAGAACAGAUACCGAGAGAGAGAGAGAGAGACCUGCGCAAACUUUGCCAUCUCGAAUUUUACAAAAAAUCAUCAGUGAUCGAUCCCUUACUCAUUCACCUAAAAACCCUCAAUCAACUCAAACAAAACCAAAUCCAUUCUCCACGCAACGCACCAAAUCAGAUUAGAGACGUUCGUAACAAAAACAACAACAAAACAGAUGCCAAGAAAGAGAGCGACCUGCGCGAGUUUAGCCCUCUCCGAUUCGUCGUCGGCGGCGGGCGAACUCGCCGCGGCGGCAUGCGGGGGCGUCCGAUUCCAACUCCUGCUGCGAUUCCGAUUCCUAGCAGUGAUUAGGGCGAGGAGCUGGGAUGGUGAGGGAGAAGGGGGGAAGUGGGAGAGAGCGGUGGCGGUGGCGGUGGCGGUGGGGGAGGUAGUGCUUGGGAUUAGGGUUAGGGUUAGGGUUAGGGUCAGGGUUUUGCGGCCGCGGCGGGGGAGAGGAGGGUGAAACGCGGCGGCGGAGCGCGGCUGCAGAAGCAGCAGCGCCUGCAUUGUAGCGGUGGUGGUGGUGGCUUCGUUUCCCCCGUAGCCAAGGUAGAGAAAGAAGGGGGCUGGAGAGGGUGAAAUGUAUGGAUAGUCCUUGUACAAUCCCAAUAUUGUAACUUGAUCCCCGUUGUUUUAAAAUGUAGGAUCAGGAAUUUAAGUGCCGAGACGUGGGAUCAUGCAGGAAAUUUGCCGGUACGGUACUAUACUAUGCGUGCCGAGCCGUGUCGAUACAUGCCGGUCAAAAAAUUCUUAUAUACCGACACAUAAUAGUAUGAAAUAUUUAUUUUUUUUAGCAACAAAAUAUUCUAACUAUUUAUUAUAUCUUUUUAUUACAUCUUUUAAACUUUAUUGAGAAAAUUACUUACUAAUUUAAAGAAUAAAGAGUUUUGAACUGUGCCAUCGGUACAGGGUCUGUAUCGUGCCGGUAUCUUGUUAGCACGGUACAGUACGGUGGAUACGGCCCGUGCCAACGGGCACUUAAAACCUUGUGUAGGAUAAACUUCAGAUAUCACCCAUGUGGUUUCGCUUUUUCUCACUUUAGUGUCCUGUGGUUUAAAGUGUAUCAAGUUAGUGUCCUGUGAUUUUAUUUUUAUCUUUUUGACAGCUUCUCCGUUAAUAUUUCGUUAAAUUAUAUAUAAAAAACUUCAUAUACUCCUCCUUGGUUUAUCGAAUAUUCACAUUAAUACCAUUUAGUUUUAACUUUGUCACGGACUUAACGAAAAAAAUUAGUGAAAUCUAUAAUAAAAAGAUAAAGGUGAAAUCAUUGGACACUAAAUUGAUACACUUUAAAUAACAGGGUACUAAAGUGAAAAGUGUAAAACCAUAAGGGUGGUAUUUGAAGUUUUUUCUAAAUUGUAUAAAAUUUAACUCCACUAUCACAUUUUUGGAUCCUGCUAGGGUGGCAAUCCAGCUCACUGUUCGUGAGCCCGUUCGUGUUUGGCUCGAAAUGAGCUCGAGAUUAAAUCGCUCGUUUAGUAAACAAACCGAGCACGAGCUGAAAGAACACGAGCUAGGGUCAGCUCGCUCGUGUUCAGCUCGAUAACUGCUCAAAUACAUAUAUUUUAUAUUUAUAUUAUAUAUAUAAAUAAAUGAUUAUAUAUAUAAUAUAUAUCUAUAUCUAUAUCUAUAUCUAUACUACAUAUAAAAGCGUGAGUUUUACAUUUUUUCCUCUUUCCAAAAAUACCUCUAUCUUUUCUACUAAUAUUUUCGUGUCCAGUAAUUUUCAACCAUUCGUUUCAAAUAAUUUUUCGAAUAAUAAAUUAUUCUUAAACAUAGAUCUUAAGUUUUUAUCAUUGGAUCUCAUCCAACGAUUAAAAAUAAAAGUAUCUGUCACUUUUCUUGACAAAAAUACCCUCAAUAUCCAUUAACUCCUAUCUACGCGUUUUACAAAUAUCUACGCAUUUUCUCAAACGUAAUUUUCGUCAUAACUUAAACAUUAUAUCCUAUUUACGGCGUUUCUAAAAUAUUUUAUUUCUCACACGUAAUAGCACCAAUCACAUAAUAAAUAAAAUAAAAUUAAAUAAAUUUAUCCUAUCUACACGUUUUCUCAAACGCGCCAUAAAUUAAAAUAUCCGUAAUCUCCUAUUUACGUGUUUCUCGAAUAUUUUCUUUCUCACACGUAAUAUCAGCGUCAAUCACGUAGAAUGUUCAUAGAAAGAUUUAAUACCCAUCUAAGCAAAACUAAAUUGUUAAUUAAAUAUAAUUUUACAUUUUUGAAUUUUUUUAGUAAAAUAUUCAAAAGCAAUACCCGUCAAAAUAUUUUACACGUUUCUCGAAUACAAAGCAUAUCUUAAUAUACUCGCAUAUAUAUCUAAAUAUCUUUACAUAUAAUACGUACACUAUCUAAUCUUAUCUUUGUAUAUAAUAUCUAUACUAUCCAACUUAUCUUUGCAUAUAAUUAAUAUCUACACUAUCCAAUCUUAUCUUGUCAUAAUAUUUAUUCACACACAGAAUAUAUUUUUUUUGAGACAUAUUUUUUUAGUAAUAUAUUUUUUAUUUUCACCUAUACUUUUCUCAAAUAUUUUUUUUAGUAAUAUCCUUUCUCAUAUGUCCUUAUGGUUAACACCAGUACAUCGUAGUACAUCAUCAUCAUCGACACCUGCAUAUUGUAACUUUCGCCACCUUCGUCAUAGUUGGAGAGGUAUUUUGAUCUCACCUGAAAAUAUUUUAUUUUUUUAAUGUGUAUUUAUACUAUUUUAGCAUAUUUUUUUGGUAUUUUCACAUUCUUACGUAUACUUUUAUCAAAUAUAAAGUAUACAUUUUUUUAAUAAUAUCCUUUUUCAUUUUCACCUACAUUUUUCUUACAUAUUCUUAAAUAUUUUUUUUAGUUAAUCCUUUCUCAUUUAUCAUCAUUGCCGGCACCAGCACAUGGUCAUCGUCCUCCUCAUCGUCAUCGUCAUCACCGGUGCCGGCACAUUGUCGCCUUCGUCACCUUCGCCGCAGUUAUUUUGAUCCCACCUAAAUUUUUUUUAUACUGUUAUAGCAUAUUUUUUUUAGUAUUUUCUUAUUUUUACUUAUACGUUUCUCAAAUAUAAAGUAUAUUUUUUUUUAGCAAUAUCAUUUUAAAUAUUUUUUUUGUGACAUAACUGUCAAUCUUUUCUCACAUAAUGCAUACGUUUUCUCAAAUAUUACAAAAUAUAUAUGAAAAAUACUUAUAGUAUAAAUUAAUUAAAAUUAUAUAAAACUUAUUUAGAGAUAAAUUAAAGUUAGAAAAAAAUAAUUAAAUAAUAGACAUACACCACCAAUAACGAUUUAAAAUUUAAAAUGUAAAUAUAAAUUUAAUUUAAAAUUAGAUGUGGCAUUUUAAAUUAAAAAUAAAUCAAAUUUUUGAUUCUUUUACAUUAAAAUAUAUAUCAAAUCUUCUAAAUUUUCUUUCUGACGAGAAUGCACGUUACCUAUACAUUUGUCACUGCCUUCUCAAGUGUUUUUUUUAAUUUCUUCCACACCUCCUCUAUUAUGGUUCGCGCCGGCACAUCGUUGUCAUCACCUUCACCAACACAUCUUUAUCCUCCUCGCCGGCACAACUUCAUUGUCACCUUUGCUAGCAUGACGUCGUCGUCCUCACAUUGCAUGUAUAUCGACAGAAGUCCACGAAUCAUAUCGGCGUUGUUGAUGGUCUACCGACAUGUCAUCGGUAGUCGAGAUACAUGCGUAUGCGCAUUAUCGGUGGUCCACAAUCUGUAGGAUAGAUUCAAAAUUCACCCAAAAUUAUAUUAAUAUUUUUACGAUUUUCUUCAAAUCAAUUUGUAUAUAUAUAUAUAUUUUUUAGGGUAUGAAAAAUGUUAAAAUAUUUGUUCAAAUAAGCUCAAUUAAUUUGAACAGUAAUAAUUAUAGAAUAGUAGUACAAUCCGUCUAUAUUUCAAUUUCAUUAAUAACUUAAAAUUAAUAUAUAUUUUAGAAAAAAAUUAUAUUUGAUUUUUUCAAAUAAGUCUUACGUGCAUUGCACGUGUAUAUGACUAGUAUAAUAUAAAUCUUUGUUAUUUGAUUUUUAGCCCAAUCUAAAUAUAAGACCAACUCAAUUAUAAAAUUAUGUAAAAUUUCAACCAUUAGAUCAAAAGUAUAACGGGUGAGAUCUUAUAAAUUUAUUUUCUAUAUUUAUUCUUUCUAAUCCUUUUAAAUUUCUAUUCAUAAACCAAAUCGUAUUCGACUCGGUACUUUAACGUGCUAGCCGAACACAAGCGUGUUUGGCUCGUUGACGCCCCUAGUUCCUGCUACCUAACCUUCAAAAAAUUUUAAUUUUACCAUCAUACCUUUCAAUUUAUUUGAUUUGAGCUAUUUAGAAACUUUGUAACUUCAAAAUUUAAAUACAUUAUUUAUCUUCAUGAAUUUAGUUAUCAUAUUUUAAAUAAUUUAUGUAAUUCUAAAUUCAUAGAAGUAAUUAGUUUAAAUUUUAUAUUGAAGAACCAUCAAAUUAUUUAAAUCAAACAACUUGAAUGACCGGAUGUUAAAAUCAAAAUUUUAAAAAAUUAAGUAGUUGAGUGAAAAUAAUCUAUAGUUUAGAUAAGUUUUAUAUAGUUUUAUCAACUAAGUUUAAACUUUAAAAUUAAAAAUACGAAUUAUUAAAUUCUUAGUCAAUUGAGCUUAUAUCUGCGAGAACCAAAAAUGUAGAAAAAUAUAAUCCAUCCUGAAUCUGCACUGAUUUGCUAAGUAAAUGAAGUGAAAGAUGAAAAAAAAUUUUCUUUCUUUAAUCCAUCCUAACAAAGCCGACAUCCCGAUCAAACUCGAAUGGGCCAAAAUAGAAUUAAAAUUAAUCCAUUCCGAUCCCGAAUCCGUCCCGUUUGCAUUCCUAUUCACUGUCUAAACCAUUUUAGGCUACUUUGAAAUAGAUCCCUCAACUAUUUCUUUUUGCAGUUUGCUUUCCUCGAAUAUAUUGCAUUUGCACAGAAUCCACAAAAUAAAAAAAUAAAAAAUAAAUAAAUAAAUCAUUUUAUCCCACAAUUUAUACAGUAAAUAUACUUUUUUGGUACCGUUUGGUUCGGAUAUAAACAAGAACUAAUUAUUACAGAGAUAAGUAUAAGUAUGGAAAUAAAAAAAAUAGUAUUUGGAUGAAAAUUAAAUUGUUCUCGGAGAUAAGAACAAUUUUAGAUAGUUUUAUAUAAAAAAUGAAGGUGUUGGUGGGAAUAACCGAGAACUACUAUUCUCGAAUAAAAAAUUAACGUUUGGAUAUAAAGGGGGAUAAGGACCUAUUCCUAUUCCUAUCCCCUAACCAAACGCUACAGCAUUGACAAAAUUUUACCAAAUGACUAGCUGAGUAUAAAAUAAGUUUGGAUAAAUUACACAUUUGGCCCUCAAACUAUGAGCGACAACACUCUGGUCCUUAAACUCUAAUUUGUUGUAAUUUUUUUUGUUCGGAAUUUCAUAAUUAUUGCAAUCAAGUCCCAUACUCUAAUUUAGUUGACUAAAUAUUAAUACAAAUAAUGUGGCAUCUUUUUAUUGAUGCAUAACCACCGAUCACAAUGCUGCUAAAUCACUUCUAUAUUAGCGAUACAUCUAUAUUUAGUCAACUAAAUUGAGGUACAGAACUUGAUUGCAACAAUUCUAAAAAUUCAAGCCAAAUCUUGCAACAAAUUAAAGUUUAAGAAUCAAAAUGUCACCGACCUUAUAGUUUGAGUAAACAUGCAAAAGAAUAAAAUCCUUUUUUUUUUUAAACUCAUUUUGAGAAUAACAUGCAAAACAUAAUACAUCUGAAGAGACAACAUACUACCUUAGAAUAUCAAAUGAUGAGCAGCACUGCCGCAUUCGGCAACCCUAGAUCUACAAUGAUCAGUGCAUGGUAUAAGCUGGGGAACGUCGACUGGCCCGUGUAUGCGAGAAUGAGUGCUUGUGCGCACGCAUGCUCGUGCGCGCAAGCACGCAUACGUGUGAAUCGGUGUGUGCGUGCAUGCGCGCGCGUGUUUGUGUCUGUGUGUGUGUGCACCUGCAUGCUUCCAGAGAAUGAGAAACAGAAACAAUUGGACAGCUUGCAUGUACAAAAAAAAAAAAAAAAAAAAAAAAAAAAAAAAAAAAAGGCUUAUCAUUAGUUAAAAAAGUAGCAUAAUGAAGGGCACAAUGUUCUUAUUUUCACCAACCUAAAGUGAUUGUGAUGAUAUGAGUGAGAUUAUUCUACCUGGUUUUUGUCUCACUUCGACUCAAUAAAAACCUAUAUACAUAAGAGAGAAGUAUUCUUUUUAAAGGCCUAUAAGUAAACUUGCAUUGUGUAAACUUGCAAUGUGCGCAAUUUUAAAAGUAUUAGAAUGGAAAUAUUUAUUUGAUGAGGAUGCACCGGAUCGGGCAACCUUCGGCACCACGGAGUCGAAGAGGUAAGCAAUGCAAAGUGUAUAUCCCUGGUUUGAUGUUCUCCAACUUUAGUCCUUCAACAAGGAUUAUUUCCUGGAAAACAGUGCAACUAACAAUUAGAAAUUGAUUUUACCUAUAAAGAAAAGGAAAAAAAUCGUAUCAAUCAAGAUUAUAUUGAAAAGGAAAAUCACGCACCCGGCUUUCGAGAAAAACUAAGUGUGAAGGGAUCAAGUCGUCGUAUGCAGCAACUGAUAAGUAGUCGACUCCUGCAAAUUAUAACAUAAAGUAAAAAGUGUUUGUUGGAGAAAUUUUAGUACUAGUAGCACGACGCUUGUAAGUAGAAGUGAUCGACAAGAAUUGAAGAACCAAGCAUUUUAAAACAUUCUGAACAGCACCGAAAUCGAUGGACAAGAAUUCAUAACCACAACGCAAAUUGAGAUACUAAAAUAAGCGCAGUUAAUGGAGAGAAGAACUACACUAGAAAAGAUAGCAAUGACUAAAAUAUAUGACAUCUAGGAAAUUAAUGGCAAAGAAGGAGCUAAAAUAAUAUCAGAAUUAUGCAAACAGCUUGUGCAAUACCACAAGCUAAAAUGCAUGGCUGACCUACAAAUCAGAAUAAAAGAAAAUGAAAUCUAAGUGAUAUACAAUCUUCCAUGUUAUAUUGUUCCACUACUCCAUUCAUAGGCACUCGAUGAUAUCGCUUUUGUGUUCUAAACAUUUAAAUUCUAAAAUUUCACAGGCUAUUAUAAGAGUUAUCCAUAAACAAACAUAUGGGUAAUGAAUUCCUCAAAGUUAUUAGUGACCUGCAUGUCAUUCAGGAAAUUAACUUUGCAACGCAAAAUUUUUAACUUAAAUUACAUUAUGACCAAUUACUUAAAGAAACAGAAUGUCAAAUGUUACGCAGCGUUGGACAGAGAUGUCAAAUAUGAACAGUGGCUGCUUGGUAACGGCCAGAAGACAUUGACCACUUUGACCACUCUGCUUUAAUUUACAAACUCAUAUUCAGUAACAUUCAAGGCAGACUAGGAAGAAUCAAAUGAGAAGGAAUAGCAGGAAAGAAUAAGAAUAAAGGGAUGGAGUAGUGACAGCAGCUUAACUUGCUUUUGGAAAGUAUGACCUAUUUGUUCUUAGCCUAACCUAAAUCAUUCUGAAUUCCAAGCAAUAGCAAUGAUGCUCUCAUUUGAUUUUGUGAACAUGAAAAAUGUCUGGAGGCCUCCCUAAACAUAGGCCAUUUUGAAAUAGGCCCUGCAACUUAUUUCAUUUUGAUUUUCACACUCUGAAUUGGUAAUUGUUUCGAUUUGCGCAAUUUUUCUACAUCAAAUAGAUUUGUUCGAAUUGAUGGGCUCCAUAGGCCAUCAACUGUUAACAGUUAACGAUGUUUGCAGUUUUAAGAUUAAACAAAACCACUUGUAGAUUUAACCGUUAUUCAAGAGAAAAGUUUAGAACUUGCUAAUUCAAUGAAUUAACAAUGCACAACGACAUUGAACAAGCAGUUAUUUCAACCCACCAACAAGUUUGAUGUCAGUGUUGUCCACCAACCACUGUGCGCCAUCUUUCAUGAAGCCAACAUAGCUUGUAUCAAACUCCUUUUUCCACAUAAGCUCUCUGCAGAGAAGCAUAAAUAUUCUAAUUAUAUCUGCUAAAAAUCAUGUAUGCUUCAUUCUAGUUUGUGAUGAAAAAGGAAAUGGAAGAUCCUCUUUGUGAAAAUAUUGGCCGUCAUUAUUAUUUUGGAUUCGAAUUUGGCCUAUAUUUGGAGCUCAAGCACAUUCGAUUUAUAUUAACAUUGAUAUUUCAAGUUUAUGACCCAGAACUUUAAAGAGUAUAAAUUUCCAAUCUUUCCCAUAUUCCAAAGUUACUACUAGGUGGCUUCACAGGAGUUAAAUCAGAAAAUCAAAACAAAAACAGUUGAAAUAUCAUCAAGAAUAGAAAAAUGUUAUUACCUUAGUAAUUGUGUGCGAAGGUUACCAGCUGAACUUGAAUUUGUAUAUACAAUCGAAUUGAAAAAAAAAAAAAAGCAGACAUCAAAAAAAAGAAAUAAAUAUCCACUACCUGUCAGUGUUUAAUGUUCUGAAAAGCACACGGCGAACUCCUUUAGGAAUAUGUAGAGAUUCCAUUACUUCAGCUGUAUAUAGAGGACAUCAUUUAGCAGUUAAACUAAUAAUAGGGUAUUUAGAGUGUAUAUACAGGAAAGAAAAUUAGCCGCCAAGCAAACCAGUUAACGAACGUGUUACAUUGAAAACUUCAUUAGAUGAAUUUUAGAAACUUAAUGAGUGGUCUCCUAUACGUUCACAUUUAAGCAAGGUUUUAAGUGCCCGUCGGCACGGGCCGUAUCCACCGCCCCGUACCGUGCCAACAAGAUACCGGUACGAUACAGACCCCGUACCGAUGAUACAGCUCAAAACCCUCUAUUCUUUAAAUUAGUAAGUAAUUUCCUCAAUAAAGUUCAAAAGAUGUGAUAAAAAGACAUAAUAAAUAGUUAGAACAUUUUGUUGCUAAAGAAAAUAAAUAUAUCAUGCUAUUAUGUGUCGGCACACAAGAAUUUUUUUGACCGGCACGCAUCGAUACGGCUCUGCACGCACAGUGCCGGCAAGUUUCCGGCACGAACCCAUGCCAUGACACUUAAAUCCUUGCAUUUAAGCACAAACAAUCAGUAACAGCAUUUACUAGUGAAUGCACAGAUUCUCUAGUAGCCCAGCCAAGAAGAUGCUUAAAUAGGGCAGGAGCUAAUAGUUUGUUACCUGUUAUAUUUUUAUCUCUUGGGACAUCUACUAACAACGCAGGACCUGCGCAAAGAAUGAUAUAUAUAAAAUAAGUAUCGAUUGCACAAAAAUUAGUGUACAUAAGGUGAGGAGUCAAUAUUAUAGAUCCAAACUCUACAAACAUGAUCCGUGCAUGAUGCACUUCAAUGAAGGAAACAAAAAAUCAUAAAACUACUUGAAAAAAAAUCUUAGAAAGAGCUAAAGAGCAUAAAAUUAAAAACUAGAAUCAAUUGAUAUAUCAUAAACAAUCAAAUGCAGAACACAAAAGACUUACAUAGGCAUCCUAUUAUCCCUCCGAACACAAUAAAGUUGACAGCUAUCCUCAAUUUUUUUUAUUUGGUAGAGUAUCCCAGGAAUAGUAAUUCCAUGAAGAGCGGUGGAAUUGCAAUAUUUUCAAGAAAAGAGUCAUUAUAUCAACAAAGUUUCUUUAUUCUUACCAAACACAAUGGGAAUAAUACUUAGCAUCAAAGUUCUGGAUUGGAAAAUUUCUUGCUACUGCCAAGAUGAAACUUCUCAAACCGAACACUGCCUAACGAAUCAAUUCCAUAACACAUUUCAUGAUAAAAUCCAAAAGCAACACAAACUACAUAUCCCAUCGAAUUAUUUGGUCAUUUCUAUCGCCUUUAUUCUUCAGAUUGUUAUUGAAAAUAUCUUUUUAGCGAGAUGAGUUACAAAGUAACUUUCUCAAUGCCAUAGUUUCUGGGCCCAGCAUCGGAACACUUCUUUUGGCUGGACCAGUUGAUAAUCCAAUAAGAAGGCUCAUCAUUUAUCAAAACAGGCAAUCACAGUUGAUGUCUCUCGCUGAAGUCUAUGAUGCUCGUAGUUUAUGUUUUAUCCGGUCUCAACUCUCUGACAAUUCUAAGCAAUGGAUUUUGUCUCGGUAAAUCAAGGUAGUUUGUACCUGCUGUCUCUAAGGGCAUGUUUGGCCCUGUUGUGGACGGAUGCAGUGUUGUUUGAUAAAGUUUUGCUUAAAUAGGACUAUUAAUAGAAUCAGUAUACUAAAAUUUCCUACAGAUUUUCUCUGCAGAAGAAUCGGGAUCACAUAACUUAAAGCUUUGUGUUUUGGGGCCCUAAAAUUGCAUUUCUGCUUUCCGCCACAGCAAAAGUUCUGGAACUUUUCUACUUUCAAAACACUCUACUAGCUGCAGCUGACAGCAGAAGCACAAGCUAGGCAGCUAGGCCCUUGCUGUAGAGUGUACCGCUCUAAUUUGAAGCUACCUGUCACGGACAAAAUGUUUUCCGCUGACUUCUCCUUGACAGUGGCCCAAUUUCGCUAACGGAGCGGGUCGUUAAAGAGACCCGAACCCAACCCGCUGUGGAGAGAUGAAGAGUGUUGUAACUUCUCCCAUCAAUGAUGGAAGCUCAAGGGUUAUGAAACUCCCAAGAGUUAAUGGGGUGACUCUUGGACUUAUGGCUCAUUAUAAGGGUGAGUUAAUGUGUGAGUUAGUGUAGGCUAGAUUCAAUGUAUCUAGGAGCCUAUAUAUAGUGCGGUUUGGCUAAGGCCAAAACACACAAGAGACAGUGUGUUUGUAUGCUGUAAUUCUCAUUUUCUAAGUAGUGUAGUACUUAGCAUUUUGAGAGAACCUCUGCCUCAUUCUCUUUGUCAUUUCCUUUGCAUACUUAAUCGUAGGACGCGAAGGUCCGGACUAGCAACAGGAACAAAGGCUUGCCCAUUUUCAAACAGGAAGGCCGGCGCCACACGGGCUUUGCGAACAGAAACGCUAAGGCCGUGACAUACUGCUCUAAUUUGAAGCUACAUACCGGUCUAAUUUGAAGCUACCCCAAAAAAAAAAGAAAAAAGAAAAAAAAUUCACAUUUUUGCUUCCCGCCCCUAUCAUAAGUAACUGCAGCAGAAGGUAACGGACGCAGACACUAAAGUCAACACCAAAUUCGAGUCUUUUUCCAGUUCCUAGCGAAUCCUAGUCCUCUCCGAUUCUCCAAAGAAAGAUAACAUGAUAAACUCUCUAAAAGCUUCUCUAAGCGCCAGAAUCAGAAGCUCUGAAGCUCCGAAUUAGAGCUUCUGCAUUUAUAACACCUCAAAAUCAACUUUUUCUGAUUCCCAAACACCCUGUAAUACAUCAGUACAGCUAAAAGCAGAAGCAGAAGCAGGGCUAAACUAACAACUCCGCUUUCUCCCUAACUCACAAACUAGCAAAGAAAAAUAACAUGAGGAGCUCAAACGCCCCAAACAACAUACCAUUGAGCACCUCGAGAUCGAGCGUGUCGACGUCGAACCCGGCCUCGUAGUAAUGCUGGAACACGUGCCCGGGGGCGUCGACGUGGGUGCCCGUGUGAGCGGGGAGCUUCAUCUCGGAGUUGUUGGCGAGGGACCCGUUCGCCAUGGACCCGGCGAGCCAGAGGAAGGGGCCGAGCCCCUCGGGGGACUCCCACGAGGGCAUGUCCUCGCGGAGCGCGUAGGUGAUGUCGAUGAUCCGUCCCCCGUCGUACUCCUCGCGCCGGAUCGGCACCAGAUCGUCGGCGGCGUCUGCGGCGCCGGCGGAGAAGGGGGCGGAGCACGAGGACGACGACGAUGGGUCGGGGUACGCGGGGUGCGCGGAGGAGGAGAGGGAGGAGGGGAUGAGGAGGAGGAGGAGGAGGAGGAGGAGGAGGUAGGGUUUGAGGGGGAUCGCCAUGGGAGUGGUGUGGAGAGGUGAGGUGAGGUGUGGUGUGGUGUGGUGUGGUGUGUAGUUUGACUCUCAACAGAGAAAAGAGAGAGCCAUAACCUUUUAUUUAAGGUUAAAAUGUAUAAACACCCCCUGAAUUAUAGCCGAAUUUGAAAUCAACCCCUAUACUUUUUUAAAGAAAUUUAUGCCCCUCUAUUUACCAAAAAUUUAAUUUACGUACAUUUUUUAGUAAUUUUGAAAAUUCUUCUAGAAUAAAAAAUUCAUUAUAAAAUGCACAGUAAAUAAAAUAUAUUCAUAGCUUAAUAUCGAUCGACAUAUUUUAAUUAUAAUAAACAAACACAGAGCUAAUAAAAGAAUAAAUAUAAGUAGAAAGCUGAAAAAUAUUAAAAUAUAUAAGAAUUUGACCCUCCUCUAAAAUGUUGAAGUUAUUUAUCGGCUUAUCAAAAAAAAAUCAAAUAAAAUGAUAAAUCUGAAAACUUCUGAGCGACGGUCGUAAAUCAAAUUUUCAGUAAGUAGAGGGGGUGUGAAUCAAAUAAAAAUUUAGUGGUCAAUUUUAACCGAGACUAAAGUUUAGAGGGUGCCUAUACGUUUUUAACCUUAUUUAAAUUAAAAUUUAAUAGGUAAAAAAUAGAGAGGAAAUUUUGAAAAGUAAAGAUAAUGAGAGGAUAAGCAAAAUGCACCUAUGAUAUUUUUAUAUUUUCUAACACUAAUUACUUUAUAUUUCUAGUUGAUAUUUGAGAUUUCAAAAUAGGGAAAAAAAUUUGAAAGCGGAGAUAAUCAGUAAAAAAGCGAAAUAUAACGAAGCAAUUUAUAUUUUCUAGUACAAGUUACUUUUUUUUUUUUUUUUUUGAGAGAUAGGUAGCACGCUACCCGCUUCGUUUAUUUCAUUAGAAAUAAACCUUCGCUGGAAAAAGUGAAUCAAUAGAUGUCGAAACUUGGUCUCCGGGUACCAACCACCAAGCCCUUUGUCACUUGCUCUAGGGACGGUUAGUAUUUCUAAUACAAGUUACUAUACAAUUUAUUUGAUAUUUGAAAUUUUAAAAUUUAGCAGCACAUCGUUAUUUUUAUAUGUCUAAUUAAGUUUAUCUUUCAAUAAUGAAUAAAACGAAUAACAUAUUAUUAAAAAAAAAAAAAGAAAAAGAAAAAAGAAACAUUACCAUCGUCAUCACCACAAAUGAGUUUUAUGAGAAUUUGACGAGAUAGAAGGAGAGAGUUUUUCGUAAGUAUACCAAACUGUGUUGGAGAAUUUGAGCAUCUAUAUCUGUAUAUGGGAGAGAAAAAAAAAAAAUUCGGUGGUAUUUUCUCUAAUGACACCUUAUUGAAAAGCUCCCGGAUCUACAUAUUAGUUUUUGAUUCAAUCUUUAAAAAAUUAAUUUGAAUAUUUUUUAUUGAUCAGAAUCCGUUAUCCCGGUAAAAAAUAUAAUCAAAAUUGGAAGCAAUAAAAAAUAAUUAAAUGUUUAGUCUCUAUAACAAAAAAAAAAUUGUAAAAUACAAAAAUCUCCAUCAUUGCCAUAAAAGCAUUAAGCAUUAAAAACAGGCAUGCAGAUGACCCAAAAAAAAAAAAAAAAAACAAAACUCAGAGUUCCUUAAAUUUUUUAACAAAUUAUAGAGUGCUAUUUAAGAAAGAAUUAAAUAUAAGGAUUAAUAUUAUUUUAAUUUUUUAUGCAGGAAAUAUUUGAUAUAUAGUAAUAUAUAUAUAUAUAUAUAUAUAUUAGAACUAGGCUACUAUACUAUCGUAGCACGGAGCGCUUCAUGCUACUAAUUGUUUUUCGAUGAUACGGCUUCAAAAUGCGACGAUUGGCUCCGUUAGACUUGAUCUACACUAUUGAAAAUAUUUAGAAACUAAAUUUCAUAAUUUUUUCGAUAUCAUUUAUCUAUCAAACAAGUAGUCUAAAUUGUACAGCUGAAAAUAAAAUCUCAUGAAAAUGAUGAUAAAAGAUUUAAAUUCAAGAUCAGAUAUACUGAUUUACUCUAAAAAUGAAUAAGAAUUUCUAUAAAAUUUUCAAUCGCAUUUGAAUUGUUUACAAGUACCUUAAACUCAUAAACACACACAUCGGCCAUUAAAAUUGUCAAUUUGAGAAUCUUUUGAUCACUAGUCAAAUGAUGUUAAAAAUCUGAAAUUUAGUUUUCCAAAUACUUUCAAUAGUGUAGAUCAAGUCUAACGGAGUUGAUCGUUGAUUUGGAAGCCCCAUCAUCGAAAACAAUGGUAGCCACGGAGCGGCUCCGUGCUACCGAUAGCAUAGUAGCCCGGACACUCUCUCUCUCUCUCUUCUCCUCGCUUCCUCUCUCUCUCUCAUCUCCACUCUCUCUCUCUCUAUAUAUAUAUAUAUAUCAUAGAGUUUGACUGGACUACUAUCGGUAGUAAACUGCUCGGUUUACUACCGGUUUGUUUUUGAUGAUAGAGCUUCCAAAUCGACGAUCGGCACGUUAAACAUGAUCUAGACCAAUUAAAUUAUACUAGAAAUCAAAUUUUAUGAUUUGUUUUGCAUCUACACUAAACAUCAAAGGGUCCAUCAAAAUCUAUAAUUUUAAUAGGCCGAUAUGGUGCGUGUACUCGUUUAACGUAUAGAAGAGUUAAUCAACGUAAAUUUUUGUUAGAAAAUUCUUUAACCUAUUUAAAAUAAGAUCUAGACUCCAGAUCUCAAAUAUAAAAAUUGUCUCAUCACUUUUGAAGGAUUUUCAUUUCCAGCGCAUUCAUUUUUUUGUUCACUUGAUGGACAAGAGAACAAUAUCCGAAAAAAUGUGUGAAAUUUGAUUUUCUCAGAUAGUUAAAUAGUUUAGAUCAUAUUUAACGGGUGCCGAUCAUCAAUUUUGAAAACUCUAUCAUCGAAAACAAAUCGGUAGUAAAUCGAGCCGUUUACUACCGAUAGUACUCUAGCAAACUCUAUAUAUAUAUAUAUAUAUAUAUAUAAUUAGGAUUAGGGCCUAGAAUACUUGUGAAAGUAUCAUGCGAGGUGAUACUUGUGUGUUUUUAGCCCACUUGGAUGGAGAGAGAUGUGAGGUUGAAGUGAUGAGGUGGUAGGUGCUGGUGGUAAGAUAGUGUUUAAUCCAAGAGGCUAUAAAUAAUCAAAAGUAGAUCCAAUGGCUUUAAAACUCAAAUAGACCAUGAUGGUGAUACUUGUAAAAGUAUCAUAGCUCAACUCAUAUAUAUAUAUAUAUUAUAUAUAUAUAUAUAUAUAAUAUAUCCGGCUGGAUAUUAUCGAUAGAAACCAAGAAUUGUGCUAUCAAGUUUUCAACCGUUAAAUUUAACCCAUUAAUUAUUUUAGCCGUUAAAUUAUACAUACAACCAACCACCCACGUCAAGGCCUAUGGGGCCACAGUUCAUCCUAAUCGAUAUUCGUCAUCCAAGAGCUAAAAACUAAUAGCACCAAUAACUUGGUGCUAUUAAUAAUAUUCCAGCCUAGUUAUAUAUAUAUAUAUAUAUAUAUAUAUAUAUAUAUAUAUAUAGACACACACACACACAAGGGUCCGGUAAAGUACCAAGUACUUGGUGUUUGCAAGUUUUUCAUUGUUAGAUCUAUCCCUUUGACUAAUUCCAUCUCUUAGACAAUACUAUUCCACCAAUCAUUCACUCAACCUAAGGAAUCUCUAUUAUUCUAAUUCUAUAAAUCUCAAAUGCCGAAAACCUACAAGCACUAAUGACUUGGUGCUUUUAAAAGUAUAGGAACUCUAUUAUAUAUACACACACACAAGCUAUAUCUAUUCGAACAUGAGCGAGCUAUCCUCCAGCUCGUGUUCAUUUCGUCAAAAUUUUGAAUUGAAAAAUUCAGCUCGCAUUCGGCUUAUUUAUUAAAUAAGUGAUGAAUCCACAUCGGUUCAAAUACGAGCUAACCGAUCCCAACUUGUGCUCAAGUUAUUAAAAUUGUGAGUUGAAAAUUUUAGCUCAUAUUUGACUUGUUUAUUAAACAAGCGAUUGAUCUCAAACUCACGUUGAAUCGAAUAUAAACUGACCAGCAAAAUGCGAGCUAUCUAGGUUGUCAACCCGAGUUAAAAAUCGCGUAAGUUAAAAAAUAUGUAAUUUAUAAACCUAUUAGCCUUUGAUUUUUAAUUAAUUAAUUAAUUAAUUACAAGGCGGUUGAAACUUGAAACUAGUCACCACCCAAAUCUGACGCCGGCCAGUCAAGAAAAGGAAGACCCGACCCGACCCGACCCGACCCGACAGUCUGCUGUUAGUUAGGAGGACGAAUGCAGGACGCAAGCCCCAAAAUUAUGGCCUGCGCCUGACGUACCAUUACAUUCCAUACACCAGAUUUAAUUAUUAUUGUUUAAUAUUUUGAUGGCUAAAUUAUGCACCAAAAAAAAUUCUAUAAAUAUCCUUUUUUAUUUUUUCUUUUUAACUUUCAAAAAUCUAUAUUUAUUCCUUCAAAAAAUUUUAAAAAUCUAUAUUUCUUCUAAACUUCAAAUAUUACUCAUGUGGUUUCGCACUUUCUCACUUUAGUAUUCUGUGGUUUAAAGUGUAUUAAUUUAGUACUAUGCGGUUUCGUUUCUCUCUUUUUUUCAGUCCCUUCAUUAACUUUUCGUUAAAUCAUAUACAAAAAAUUUCAGAUAUCCUACCUAUAAUUUAUCAAAUAUUCACUUUAGUACCCUUUAGUUUUAAAUUUAUCAUUGAUUUAACGAAAAAAAAUUAGUGAAGGGGAUAACAAAAAGAAAAAAAUAAAAUUACAGGAUACGAAAAUGAUACAUUUUAAACCAUAGGGUGCUAAAGUGAGAAAGUACGAAACCACAAGGGUGGUAUCUGAAGUUUUCUGAAAAGAAAUAUUGGGUAAUAUCAAAUACACCCGUCAAAACACCUUUCAGAACUUUAAAAACAUCUAAUACACCCUUAUGGGGCCAAAAUGUUUUUAUUGAUUUCCAAAAAUUUUUUAAAAUAUAUCCCUAAAUCUUGGGUUUAUAAAUAAAAUUUGAAGUUUAGAAGAAUAGUUUGAGAAUAUAUAGAAUGAUAAAUCCCCUCAAAAAUAAAUGCUUAAAUUUUUAGGAAUCUAUAAUUUAUUAUAUUUUAUAUACUAAAUAACAAAACUUACAAACAGUACAUUCAGUUCCAGCAUUAAUCAAGUAAAAAGUUAGUUGUUGCAUUGAUCAUCAAUUACAUACCACAAAAUAAUUUAGAUGCAAACUUAAUUACUUCAUCUUUAGUUGUAUACAUUUUCAAUUACAAUUAAUGAUAGGGACGUCAAGAGGUUGGAGUGGAGGCUAGUUUUCCAAUACCCGAAUCUGAACUCGAUUUUAAAAAUUUAUAUCCAAAUCUGAACCCGAUAAAAAAAAUCCGAAAUUCGAACUCGAAACAAUUAUUUUUCUCAUAUUUAAAUAUAAUUUUUAAAAUACAAGUUCAAAUACAACAUUAAACAUUCCUACAUAUUAUAUAAUAUACAAUCAAUUCAAGUUCGAGGCAUGCUUGUGUAGAGAUAAAAUUCAUAUUCAAAUUUAGGUUAGCCGGAUUUUUAAUUUUAAUAUCCGUAUUCGAAACGAUAUCCAUUUAGUGUCUGUGAAUCAGGUCGGGUCUGGAUAGUUGGUAUACUGUAUCUGCAUCUUAAAAAAAAAUUGAUAAAAAAAUAUAUAUAUACCCUAUCCAUUUAACUUCGAAUCGGAUUUCGGUCUGGAUACUUAAGUUAAUAAUAUACCCAUCGGGUCUAUUUGAGCGGGUCUAGAUAGUAACUAUCAGUAUACUACCUGCAUGCUUAAGGCCGGGUAUGGAUCGGAUAUGGGUCGAGUCUAGAUCGGGUAUGGAUACCCGUAUGCAUAUAAUUUUAUGUAGACUUUAUUAAACAGUUUAUUAACAAACCUUAAAUAUCUAGUUGCACCCGGUCCAAUAAAAUUCAUUCAAAAAUAGAUUCAAAUAGUAAAAAGCUAGAAUUUAAAAAAUAAAGAUUAAAAUAAAAAAGGAGUAAACAAAGCAACUAGGGUUUUCACUAGGAUAAAAAUAUACAUAAACCCUUCGUCUAUAAGUCGCAUUGAAAUUAAUUCCUCAACUUCAAAUAUUUUUAUUUACUAUCGGGUAUUUGACCAGAUCCAGAUUCUGAGUCCAGAUUUAGAAACUUUUUCAUACCUUACUCACUAAAAGGUUGGGUUCGGAUCAGGUCCAUGCCGGAUAUGGUUAUAAAGCAUCCAGAUCCAUACCCAAAAUUUUAAUGGAUACUUCCUUUUACAUGUGUAGUAUCUAUUUUUAUCCGGUCCGGAUAGGGUCCGGAUCAUAUAUGAAAUAUAGGGUAUUUUGGAUAGCUUUAGAUAAACGCGCCACUUUUGGAUUUACGUGUGAAUAAAAUUUUGAAUAUUCGUACCCAUCGGCAUACCUAUAUACAGUACUUGUGAUGUACUUAUACACCUGGUGUAGGAAACACACACACACACACUCUCACUCUCUCUCAUAAGUCAUAACACCCAUUCCUCUCCACCGCCUCUUUCUCUGACCCUCCAAUGACAACUCUCCUUUUUUCUUUUCUCUCUCCUCUUUUUAUUUAUUUAUUUAUAUAUUAUUAUUUUCUAUCACUACAAUAAUAUUAUUAUUAUUAUUAUUAUUAUUAUUAUUCCUAAUCUUUGUGUUCUCUCCCCUGUUUCCGUCCCUAUUCCAAAUUACUCUUUUUCUCGAUCUAAUGCCACAAUUAUGGAACUCCCCACGAUGUCCCCACCGCCGGUGUUAUUGUUGCGUAGACCCGGUCUAUAGACCGGACCAAUCAAAUGAAAGCAUGAAAAAUUAAAAAUAAUUAUGAUUCAAUGCUGAGAAUAUCUAAUUUGAGCAACUCAAAUUAACAAUUUAAUAGAGAGUUUUAUUUUAUAACUAAUUUAAACUUAGUAUAGGUUUAUCAAUUUUUCACUUAUUUAAAAUUAUGUUAUAUCUAUCUAGUCCGAUGAUAACUCAUUUACUCUGAUUGGCUGUGCAAAAUAAAAUACUCUAUAAAUCAUCUAUUCUUGUAAUUUUGGAUUCUUAUUCUAAUUAAUUCAGAUUAGUAAAUAAGUGAAAAAUUAUAUCUUUCAUAUGAAAAUCCUAACAAACCUCUUAAAUACAUUCCAAUUUAAUUUUAGUUUAAUUAACUGGUAAUGGAUUAUAUUCUAUAGACCGGGUUCAGCUAAAAUUUUCUACCCACCGCCACGGCGAACCCUUUAUAAUUUUCCCGCCUUUUUCGUCCAUUAAUAAUUUAUCACCAUCAUUGUUUGCUCAAAUUACGAAAACACCCCUCACCCCUUCCCUAUAUAAACGCCCCAACCCUCCCCCCUCCUCCAUUACCCCAUCUCUCUCUCUCUCUCUCUCUCUCUCUCUCUCCACUAACCCUAAUUCCCCGAACCACCUCCUCCUCCUCCUCUAAUGGCGCACUCUCACCUCCUUAUCCUCGUCCUCUUCGUCUCGGUCUCCAUCUUCGCCUUCAUCACCGGCGCCGCGGCCUCCGACAUGUCGAUCAUCGCCUACAACACCGCCCAUGGCGUUCGCGGCAUCGGCGUUGAUCGGAGCGAGGAGGAGAUGCGGCAUCUCUACGAGGACUGGCUCUCGAGGCACGGGAAAGCGUACAACGCCCUCGGCGAGAAGGAUCGGCGAUUCGAGAUCUUCAAGGACAACGUGAGGUUCGUCGACGCCCACAACAACGGCGACGAUGCUUCCACCUUCCGAUUAGGGUUGAAUCGGUUCGCCGAUCUCACGAACGAGGAGUUCCGGGCGCUCUACCUCGGGAGGAAGGGGGAGAGGAGGAUGAGAUCGGGGCCGGAGGGUAACGGUAACGUGACCGGGCGUUACCGUUACGUGGAGGGGGAGGAUCUCCCCGCGAGCGUUGAUUGGAGGGGUAACGGCGCCGUCACCGCCGUUAAGGACCAAGGGAGUUGCGGUGAGUUUUGUUUCCUCUCUCUCAUUACACUGCACGUAAUACUUAAAUGAUAGUAUAUUAUAUCUUAAAAAAUCGAAAUAAAAUCUAAUAGUUAUGACCUAAAAUUUUGUUAGGAGUUUAUGUAUAAAGAAAUCCUGAUUUUUCUUCUGAAUGAUUCUCAUUAAUUAGUUCUAAAUAUCAAUAUUUUAUGAUUAUGAUAUGGUGGGAAAAACUUGUAAAUUUUGAUAAUUUAAGCGUUUUAAAUUUGUAAGGCUUUAAUGCUUUUUGUAUUUUAUAUUAUCCUUGCAAAUAAUGACGUAAAUCUAAUCGAUUACCUUUUCUUUUUUUACUUUAAAUAGAGGGAACAAUUUCACCUUUGCUUUCGCACGAAGAAAUGGGUCGUUGUUGUCGCAAUUACUCUUGUGCCCUUCGCGUGAAUUAGGGUUUGAAACACUUUUUCACCUGAUGGUUUUUUUUGGUCUUUAGACGAGGAAAAAGAAAGCUUUUUUCUUCUUUUUUUUUUACUUUUCUGAUUGGCGUGUGAUUUAACGCCGAAUCGCUCGAAACUUUUUCGCUUAUCGAAACCCCCGCCACAAUUUUAUCACCUCCGCUUUUUAAAUUUCGUCGUUUUCCGAAGCUCUCGGAACUUUCGUUAUCAAAUAUUUAAUUAUUAUAACAAUUUUAAAUGAUUUUUCUCUUUUUUCUGUUUUCGUUUUGUCUCUAUAUAGUUUGUCUUUAAAUAAACAAUCACAUAAAUUUAAAAUCAAGUAAUUAGAUGUGUUAACAUUAUGCAAUAAUUCAAGUUCAUAAUAACAAUUAUUCAGAUUCAGACAAUUAUUACGUAAUUAGGCGUAAAUAUUAAUUAUGAAAGCAUUAGUAUUUUAAUGGUAAGACAUCUGAGAGUGCGCUAUGUGUUUUGAGUCUGAGUUAAAGGGGUUCUUGAUAGAAUUAUAGAGCAUCAAACUCCUGAUUCUUAAAAGAAAUGAUAUUAAUUAAAAUUAGAUCUAAUAUAUUUGUUUAUCUUAAACUAGUAAAAAAGAAUACUUUUAAUUUAUCAUCAUAUAUAUAUAUAUAUAUAUAUAUAUAUAUUAAAAUAAAUUAGAUUUAUUGAAUUAGUGUAAUUUGAUUGGAUAUUAUUAAUAUUUAGUUGUAGGGAUAAUUGCCUAUAUACUCCUCAUAUGUUUGAAAAUAUCCGAUUUAUCCAUAUUUUUUUUUUUCUAAAAUAACCCUCAUAUAUUCUACUAUUAUUGCAAAAUACCCCCGCAGUUAUCUUCUGCUAAGUUAACUUAGGUUAAACGUGAGUUAAAUAUCUACCACAGUUAAAAAAAAUUAAAAUGCCAAUUUUGCCCUUAACUUAAGGGUAAAUAAAAAAUGUUGUUGACGGUAGAGGGGUAUAUUGGAAAAGACCAAAAGUCAAAAUAUUUUUUGUUUCCCUGACUUUAAGGGCAAAUAAGAAAGUCAGUGAUGAUGGAGGGGUAUAUUUGAAAGGGCAAAAUAGUAAUUUUACAGAGAUAACAGAGUUAAUUAACAGAUUUAACUCUAGGAGUAUAUUAGAAAUAGGUUGGAACGUAGAAAGAGUAUUUUCAAUACUAGCCUUCUAAGAGGAGUAAAUCGAAAAGUUAGGAACUUUUUAGGGGUAUAUAAGCAAUUGUCCCUAGUUGUAUUAUGUAAGGUGUAUAAAAUUUGUAAUAGCUUUAAAAUAUUACGUGAACUGAGAAAAGAAAAACAUUAGGAUGUUCCUUUUGUAUAAUCAUGUAUUAGAUUCAGUACAUAGUUGCAUCAUUAUCUCUUUAAUUCAAAUAUUAUGAUUAAAAUUGCCGUGAAAUUCAAUGCGAAGUUACAUACCAUGUAUGCACAUUAAUUUCUCUAGUAUGAAUCAUAAAGAUGAAGUAAUUCGGUGUCUAGUGAAACAUAAGGGGUUAAUUGUAAUAAUCUCAAAAAAUCAUAUCGAAUAAUUAUUGCAAGCUUCAGUGAAAAAUGCCAUCAAAAUCAGCUAUCUGUUACAUACCAUGAGUUCUCAUAAUAUGUUUGUGAUUAGUCCCAAAAUAAGAAAAUUAGAACUAUAUUUACUAAUAGAAGGAUUACAUACCAUGAGUUCUCAUAAUAUGUUUGUGAUUAGUCCCAAAAUAAGAAAAUUAGAACUAUAUUUACUAAUAGAAGGAUUGGUGAUGCAGGGAGUUGCUGGGCAUUCUCAACGAUUGGGGCAGUGGAGGGAAUCAACCAGAUCGUGACCGGUGAGCUGAUUUCGCUGUCGGAGCAGGAGCUCGUGGACUGCGACACCAUCGAGAACCAGGGGUGCAAUGGCGGCCUUAUGGACUACGCCUUCGACUUCAUUGUCAAGAACGGUGGCAUUGACACCGAGGCUGACUACCCCUACAAGGCGGUCGAUGGGAAAUGCGACGUGAAUAGGGUAUGUAUUAUCCUUGCAUUCUAUAGUUGUAAUUGGCUUCUUACCAAAUGUAAGGUUGUCAUCUAUCUAUGAGAUCUAUAGGGCUUGUAUUUGUCAAAAGUCAUAGAUUUUUGGGAACCUUUUACUUAUAGUAACAAGCACUAACCUUUUAUCUAUUGUUGAUUUUGGAACCCUUGAUGCCUGCAUAGCUCCAUAGUACCUAUACUGAAAUAUUUCAAAAACUUAGGGAUGUUGAUAUGUAGUUUUUCUACAUCCUGUAGAUCAUGUGUAAUGGUUUAUAUUCCAAUUUGAAUAUCUUUAAGAUUGAUAUUUUAAUGCCGAGAAGGUCCAGUGAAUAAUUUUUGCUUAAGGGCCCUUGUGGCUGGAGUAGCGCUUCUGCAGAAGCACUUGCUGUGUAGAGCAGAUCGACUUUUACGUACUGUUACAUAUACAAGCUUUAAUUAGAACUUUUGCUUUUGGGUCCGUACAGUAAGCUCAUUUUGGCUUCAUACUCUUAAGUAGACGCUUCAGACUUGUUGGUCGCCUCGUCUAGCUUCUGCUUCUCAAGUAGUAAAGCUGCUUCAGAAGCAAAGUUGAACCGGAGCUUAAUCGUAAAAUGAAAAGGAAUCUGUUGUUGGCGAUUGAUGUUCUUAUCAUGAUUUGUAUGUUUUGUGGUUUUUGCAGAAGAAUGCAAAGGUUGUGACGAUCGACGGGUACGAAGAUGUUCCAGCGAACGACGAGAAGGCCCUGCAGAAGGCGGUUGCGCACCAGCCAGUUAGCGUCGCUAUUGAAGCAGGCGGCCGGGCUUUCCAGCUCUACGAGUCGGUGAGGAUCCCCAAUAUUUCAUUCUUAAGAUUGUUUUGUCAUUCUUGAUCAAUUCAAUUGAUGCAACGAAUGAGGAUUUCUGGCCCUCUGGCAAACAUAGUUGGUUGCUUUAGUAAUCUUUGCGACACAUAAGAUCCUAUGAGCAUCCUAUGAGUGCCGAUACUCGUGACUAAUUUGCGUGUUGUGGUGGUGAUAUAUUAUUAUUAGGGAGGUUACUAAUUGCUGUUGAUUGCUAUCAAUAAUGUACAUAGCAAGAGAUUGGUCUAAUCAAAUUGUUUCAUUAACAAUUUGUAAACAGUAUGUCUUUAAGCGAACGUGUAGUUUCCUUGCACUCUUUUCUGUUUCACUACAUUUGCAAAAUUAUCUCAAUUACAAAAUCCGACCGCACAUCAAUAUAUAGUGUGAAUCAUACUCUGUUUGAGAUAUAUUGGAAUGCAUGAAACUCAAUCUCUGCCUCUUCAUCUCAGGGCAUAUUCACCGGCCUAUGCGGGACCGACCUCGACCACGGUGUGGUAGCCGUGGGCUACGGAACGGAGAAGGGGAAGGACUACUGGAUCGUGCGCAACUCGUGGGGACCGAGCUGGGGCGAGGCAGGGUACAUCCGGAUGGAGCGCAACGUGAACGCAGCUGCAGGCAAGUGCGGGAUCGCCAUGGAGUCCUCGUACCCCGUCAAGAAGGGCCAGAACCCCCCCAAGCCCGGCCCGUCCCCUCCCAAGCCCACCCCGUCUCCUCCUCCGGCCCCGGUGGUCCCAACCACCUGCGACAACUUCUACUCGUGCCCCUCGAGCACCACCUGCUGCUGCAUAUACGGGCUCCGAAACUACUGCCUUGCCUGGGGCUGUUGCCCCAUCGAGAGCGCGACGUGCUGCGAGGACCACUACAGCUGCUGCCCCCCGGACUACCCGGUUUGCAAUAUCAAGAGGGGCACCUGCCAAAUGGUAAUAAUUCUCAUGUCCUAUUUCAUUGAGACACUUCUAUUAGCACCAAUGUUUUCAAGCAUGAUCAGAUUGUUGGUAAUCGUCUAUAGAAAUAAAUCCCCUGUUUACGAAAACCGAAAGCACAAUUCUGGUAAAUUUUCAACUGCUCCAUCCAUCUCUUAUCUAGAUCUGAGUAGAAAAUCAUUGCUAGUGUGUUCUACAAGGAUUUAAGUGCCGUCGUAUGGGGUCGUACCUGAACUUGCCGGUACGGUACGGCACGGUGCGUGCCGAGCCGUGCCGAUACGUGCCGGUCAAAAAAAAUUCUUGUGUGUCGACACAUAAUAGCAUGAAAUAUUUAUUUUUUUUAGCAACAAAAUAUUUUAACUAUUUGUUAUGUCUUUUUAUCACAUCUGGCACGGAGUCUGUAUCGUGCUGGUAUCUUAUUGGUACGGUACGACACGGUGGAUACGGUUCGUACUGACGGGCACUUAAAAUCUUGGUGUUCUAUCAACAUCUAAAAGUCGACGAAACCAAAGAGUUUACUAUGUUGUACUAGUAAUAACAUUUUUUCGCGGAUAUUUUCAGAGCAAGGACAAUCCUUUGGGCGUCAGGGCGCUGGCCCGUGCCCCCGCAAAGCCAUUCUGGGCAUACACAGGUGCCGACGAUGACGAGAAAAGCGUGAUUUUGGCUUAGUUGAAUAUGAGGUGAGAAUUGGAGGAGGAUGCUAUUGCUGAAUUCGUCUGCAAAAAUUUCUAUCGUUUAUGAGUUGGAUUCGAAAGAUUUGCUUGAAUUCUAUUCUAGCCUUUUCUUUUCUUUUCUUUACUUUUCAUUUCAUUUCCUUUCUUUAUUUUAGAGCAAAAUCUUGUACAUGGCUCUGAAUUUACCCGUCGGAUUAAUCAAGAACUGCUUUUGAUUUGUCUUAAACUAGCUUCUUUUAGUGAAUGUAAAUAUCUAGUUUAGUAUCUGCUUGUUCUUUUCCUUUCUUUUUUCUUUUUUUUUGUGUGUUAUUUACGCUUUUUUUUUUUUUGCAUUUGGCCCCCUCAAAUUUUUUUUUUACAAAUAGUCCCAUCAAAUUUAUAAUUGCAAAUUUGGUGCUAUUCUCGCCACACAGGCGCCACAUCAGCACCACGUAGGCUGGAGGAGUGUUAACGGUGAAUGAUUUAUCGUAUUCAAUACUUAUUUUCUCUUUAAAUAUAAAUCAAUUAAGAAUUCAAAUAUCAAAUUUACGCAGAAACUUUAAGAGGGAAAAAUAAGGGGCCACUUUUAAACAAUUUCACUAUAUAAAAUUGAAUAAGUGUAAUUCCUCUCUGGUUACUGCUAGUGACAUGAAUUAUGAGCUCCAAACAAAGAGAAAUAUUCGAAAAACAUCCGAGUAAGAUAAUCGGGUUCCUAUCCUCGGUAUGUACCAUUUGGUUGGAGAAUAAAUAUAGAAUAAAGGAGUUUAUCAGAAAUUUAUUCCUGUUAUUCUACCAAACGAUGUGAAAAAUGACUAUUCCUCUCUUAACGGGUUAUUCUAGAAUAACUCGUUAAGAGAGGAGAAUUACUAUUCUUCCCUCUCCAUGGAAUAGAAAAACUUGUUCUUUAUUCUCCCCUUUAAAUAAUAAUUUAUUUAUUAAACUAUGAUAAUUAGUAUAUUAUAUUCUUAACAAAUUAAAUUCUUAAAAUAAUUUUUUCUGUUAAUUAGUUUCUAAUAAUUAUAAAAUAUUGCUAACUAAUAACUAAUUGACUUAUUUAAUUAUUUACUAACCAUUUGAAUUAUUAGAUUAAUGAAUAUUUAAUUACAUACUUGAAGAAAUAAUUGACUAUUUAUAAUCAAUCACUAAUCAAAUGAUAAAUUAAUUAAUAUGUUUAUUCAAAUAAUAACUAAUAUAUAUAAUAAUUAACUAAUAAAUAUUUUAACUUAUCAACGUAAUUUAUUAACUAAAUGUAUAAUUAAGUAAUUAGCUAACGCAUUUAAUUUAUUUCUAAAUAACUAAUUAGAGCCAUAUGAAUAAGUGGAAAAUGCCUAUGAGCCCAAAUGGCUCCCACAUAAUUCAAAAAAAUUGAUCCAAUAAAAUAUCUACAUUUAAAAGAACUAGGCUAAUAUACUAUUAAUAACACCAAGUUAUUAGUGCUACUAAAUUUUUGGCCAUUGGAUUAACAGAUGUACGGUUAGGAUGAUGUGUGCCUCCUAGAGUUAAGUGGGUAAUUGGUUGAAUAGUAUGAUCUAACGGAUGAAAAUGAUCAAAAGGGUAGAUCUAACGGCGAAAAACUUGGUAGCACUAAGUGCUUCGUGCUAUUAAUAGCAUAUUAGCUGGACUCACAUUUAAAAUAUCUAUAUUUUUGCACAUAACUCUUUCACGAGGAGGGACACCACUGUGGAUGAUGUGUUUAUUUGUUGAUCGCCUCAAAAUUUUCUAUCUUAAUUAAUGUAUAUAUUAAUUUUUUUAAAAAAAAAUUGGCACUUAGAUUCUGUGUAAUCUCAUUAGCUUUGGGCCAAAACUGAAUGAGAAUCAAAACAUGCAAUCAAAAUUAUGAAACAUCCAAACUAAUCAUCAGCAUCAGCAUCAUUUUUAGUUGCUGUAUUUUUAAUUUUAUUUGUUGUAUUGUGGUUGUGGCCCAUCUCGUAAGCAACAUCAAUUAUAAUAUAGUAUUUAUUAUACAUUCUAAAACACAAUAAAAUAUUUUUGAGUAAUUAUCAAAAUCAAACGUAAAAAACUCUAAACAUAAAUUCAAUAAUAACAUCUCUUUGAGUCUCCUCCGUUUGGUUGUGUUCGAUUUGAUUUUUUUAAAAAAUAAAAAUAGAAAAAAUCGGAUUAUUCGAAACUUUAAUAAUUUAAUGCAUAUUAUUACUCCUUAAAUUUAAAAAAAGUAUUUGGAUUGAAAAGUUUUAGUGUGUAGAAUUAAUUAUAAUUAUAAAAUAUUUAAAUCAAAUAACAUUUUUUUAUAAAAAUUAAAUAAGUAAACUAAACCAGUCAAAUUAUUUUCUUUCAUUUGAUUUGGUUCGUGCUUUCGCUUUAAUUCGCUUUAAUUCUAUUUUAAAAAAGAACCGUAAAAACAGACCCGCACCAUAUGAUGCUCACCUUAUUUGGAUGUUGGAAUGGGAAUAAAAGUUUCGAUAUGAGAUGAUAACUUAUUUGAUAUUAGAAUUUUCUAGUAUGAUUGAAAAUAAAAAUUUUAUUUUUUAUUUCUUCAAAGAUAUUAUUAUUCAUAAUUUAAUAAAAUAGUAUAUUUUAUAUACGAUACCACAUUUCUUAUUAUUCAAAUGGAUAUAUAUUUUUGAAGUAAAUUAAGAACAUGCGCUAAAUAAGAUAUUUAUGCAUGUAAAUAAGUUUUGCCGCUCUCUCACACGAAGCUAAAAUACAAAAAAAACCUCCAUAAAUAUGCCAUAUUCACUUUUCUCUUUUGACUCUAAAAAAUUUAUAUAUUGUCUGCUUAAAAUUUUACAAAUAUUUUUAAAAAGUUAUGACGUAAAUAAAAAAACCAAAUAAUCAAAUUAUACUUAUUUAUUUUAUAAAAAAUAAAUAAAAAAUAAAUUAUACUUAUUUGUUUUAAUAUAUUUUUGAUAUAAAUUAUAAAAAAUAGACAGAAUAGUGACGAAGACAGAUAAAGCGAGUUAAAUGUAUCAGUUUAAAAUUCGAAAAAACUUCAAAUACCCUCCUGUGGUUUCGCAUUUUCUCACUUUAGUACCCUGUGGUUUAAAGUGUAUCAAAUUAGUACCCUAUGGUUUCGCAUUUUCUCACUUUAAUACUCUUUGGUUUAAAGUGUAUCAAGUUAGUACUUUAGUUUUAUUUUUGUAUCAAGUUAGUACCUUGUGGUUUCAUUUUUCUCUUUUUAUUAUCCAUUUCGAGAUAUUUUUUCAUUAAAUCAGUGAGAAAGUUAAAACUAAAGGGUACUAAAAUAAAUAUUCGAUAAACCUAGGUAUGGUAUCUGAAGUUUUUUAUAUAUAAUUUAACGAAAUAUUAAACCAGAGGGUGCUAAAGUGAGAAAGUGCAAAACCACAUGAUACCAAGUUGAUGCACUUUAAACCACGGGAUACUAAAGUGAGAAAGUGCGAAACCACAUGGUACUAACUUGAUUCACUUUAAACCACAGGGUACUAAAGUGAGAAAAUGCGAAACCAUAAGAGGUGUAUUUGAAGUUUUUCUUAAAAUUAUGACAGUGUGAAAUAUAAAUUUUUAAAAAAUAAAAAAAUAAAAAAUGGGAUAUUUAUUAGACCAAAUUUUCUCUAUUUUACCCCCAAAAGAGAAAGGGUAAAAAAGAAAAGAAAAGAAAAGAAAAGAAAAAAAAAAACUUGUUGCCUUUUUUCUCUUCAACGCCGUUGCCCUCUCGAUCUCUCUCGUUAAGACGUAAACCCAAUCACUCCCCGCCGCGACGAUACCAAAAUUUUUUUUUUUUUAAAAAAAAAACCCUCCCCUCCUCCGCCGCCGCCGCCGCCGCCGACGACGACGACGACGACGACGAUGGUUCAGGCGAAGAGCAAGAAGCCGAAGCCACGGAAGCCGCAGCGCGACGCCGUAAAUCCUCUCUCUCUCUCUCUCUCUCUCUCUCUCUCUCGAUCGAUCGAUCGAUCGAUGGAUCCCACUUCCAUUGUUAGAGAAUCAAGAUUCGUCGGAGAGGAAUAGCUUUCUCAUGGAAUCUAGCUCUUUUUUUUUUUUUUUUUUUUGAUGAUGAUCAUUAGGAGGUUAUUACUUGAAUCUUCUUGAAUCUAUUGCAUGUUGUUUAAGAUGGAUUUAGUGUAAGAAGCAAUGAUUUAUACAUGCUUAUAAUUUGUCUGUUCAAUCUCUUUGAAAUUAUUAAGAUCUUUAUAGGUGAUACUUCCUGAUGGAAUCCAUGGGUAAACUUCAAAUUAUCAAAUUACCCCCCGUGGUUUAGCUCGUUUUUACUUUGCCGCCCUGUGGCUUGCUAAGAAAUGUUAACUUUGCCACUCUAUUUCAUAUAGAAUUUUUUGGUAAAAAUCGUAAAAUAAAAAUUAAACCACGUGGAGGUAAAGUGAAUUUUUUUGAACUAUAGGGUGGCAAAGUGAAAAUAAGCUAAGCCACAAGGAGGGGACUGCGAUUUGAAGUUUACCCUAAAAAAAGAAAAAGAACUUAGCUACAUAGGUGUGACAGUUAGGCCUCGAAGAGACAAAAAAAAGACGGCGAAAGUGGAGUCCCCUAAAAGCACCAACACCACCUGAAACCCUAGUAAGGUGGAAUUAGAAGCUCUACAUCUUACAUCUAAUUAUGCUUUUUCGCAAUCAAUCAACUUUGACCAUCGCAAAUGCGUCCGAAAUAAUCUACCCUUUAGGAAUGCUGAUUGGGUGGGCGAGAUUAUAUUAUGUAAUAGCUAGCUCCUUUCGGAACGAAAUGAUCUUUUGUACCCUGUUUAUGAGGCUAAUAGGUUGAAAGCUGUUGGCUUUGCUUGCAUCUCUGUUCUUCGACAUGAGGCAGAGACAUAUGAAUUAUUUAUAUGUCCAGUAGUCAAACUACCAUUAUAGAGCUCCCAAAAGAUGUUGAAGAUGUCGUCUUUUAUAGCCCAUUUGGUUCACGGUUUAUAAUAUUUCCGUAAUCCCCUGAAAGAAGGGCUAAAGUGUAUACCCUCUUGAGUUGUAUUAAUGAAUAUAUAUAGUACAAGAGAUUGUCUUACUAUAGUAACAAUGACUACUAUAGUAAGAGUAUAACUAGGAUUACAUACUAUAUAAUCCUACUCUAUAGAAGGCAAUGAUACUACUCUAUAUAAGGCAAUAAAACACAAUAUCCUAAUAUAUCGUAACAUCCUAAUAUAGAUAAAAUAUAUCGUAACAUCCCCCACAUUUUCUAUUAAAAAUAUUUAAAUCAUUACUAUUCAAGUUAAGUGGGUAAAUUGUAAAAGAUGUUAGUAAAGUAGUGGAAUCAUUGUAGUUUCCUAGAUGGUAGGAAUGCUAGAUUAUCACGAGUUAAGAUAUAUUCUCAUUUUCAUACUUGAUGGGAAUUAUUAGUAGUCCAUUACUAAUAAUAUACUAGUUCAGUAGUUCUUAACAACGGCUCAACCCUAGUGACUUGAUAAGUUAGUAACAAAUUUGCCAUUCCAAAUAUAAAAUAUAAAACAUUCCAGGAAUAUUACAAACAUUGAAAUAAACGCCCCCUUAUUGCUUCCCAGAAGGUUUGGUAAAACACUAGAUGACAACUAUCGAGGCAAGGUGCUUUGUCCCCUCCCAAUUGGGAGGUGCGCCUCAUAAUCUCAGCCAUAAACAACUCACUCUAGUCCGCUUGCAUGCCAUACUCCUGUCCAGAUGGAGCGAAAGCCUCUUUAAACUCGUCAAAGAAAUAGUCUUGCUUUUUCUCUCUCUGUAUAUUCUUCUGCUGUUUGCAUCAAUCAUAUCAAUUGCGUGGUUCCGUCUUAUACUGUUCGCCGCUGCGUGGAAGAACUUCGUAUUGCCAUCUCCCUCCUGUAAGCAUCUUUGCUCUAUGUUAGAGGCCAAUUCUAGUUAUUCUUCCUUUAUGUCCAAGUUCUGAAUCUCUUCCAUAGUCUCCUUCAUUUUAAAAUAGUGUAGAAAUGUGUGGAGUACCACUUUUUUUGACAAUGCCUAAGCCUCGCUGUGACUUGAAUCUUUGCUGGGCACUUCUUUAUGUCAGAUAGGAACCUUUUGUAUAAAGUCUUCCCUUGUUUACCAUACUUCCGGUUUUCACACUUUGUCGCCGGUCAAAAGUAGAGUAGGGAAAUGAUCCGAAGCGUGGCUGGACCAGCUGAUAUGGAACAUAAGCACUAUAGUUUGUAUGUGCAUUGUACCUACUAUGCCCAUAAGAGUUUGUUAAUGUGGAAUUUGCUAAAAUCAAGGGCACAACAAGGUGAAACUUCAUAGAAAAACACUAGUACGCUACAAUGGGUAGAUUUGCUAUAUCUACCCCUACUUUGUCUCCCAAUUCUCCCAAGUUUUAGUAUCUAAGUUUUGAAUUUGAACUCUGAAAGUUUGGUUAUAUUGUAAAGUGAAUCAGCACUUAUUAGUUUGCGAUAUUUAGAGUGUUUUGGCUAGAAUAAGUAAACUUGAUGAUUUCAUGGCUCAUGAAACUUUUUUUUUUAAUCCUUCCAUGCACGUUGUAGGAUCAGCUUAUCUCUAUUUCAAUACUAACUGCUAUUAUAUUGCUAUAUAUAUACCCUUUAUUGGCUAAUAAGGGUAAAUAUUCUGUGUGGUACAUAGGUAAAGAAGCAUGGGAAGGAUGCUAAUAUGACAGAAUUUUGUGCUCAAUUGGACACCCUAGGGUUAAAGAUAAUUCAAGUGACAGCGGAUGGAAAUUGUUUCUUUAGGUUUGUAGAGAAAAUUUUACUUUUCUUAUUUUGUUCAUCAUCGGAAUGGAUAUGUUACUACUGUACCAAUGAAUGUAAAUGGAACCCAUAACAUGCAUUAGAACAUGUUUUAUUUAAUCCUUUCUUCAAGUUUCUAUGUAUUCUGUGAGUACUCAAGGUAGCUUGCAGGGCUUUAGCUGACCAGCUAGAGGGCAAUGAAGAAGAACACCAAAAGUACCGUGCUAUGGUUGUACAAUACAUUGUGGUAUGUAUGUACAUCAUUGUAAAUCACAUGGAAAUUGAUUCAGCUACCUUUAGAUUGAUAUCAUGUGCAUAAUCUAGUUACCAAAUACACCCAAUCGUACACUUUUCUUAAUUUUAUGCAAUCAAGAUUAAUAAUGAACUUUGAAUAUGUUAACUUAUCCUUAUAAUAAAGUUGAGUUGUUGAAUUUUUCUUUCUUUUUUUCUUCCCUUUGCCAAAUUUUGUUUGUUAUACUGUCGUAGCUAAAAAUGUUUAGUAAAUGCUAAGUGGGAGUAUUACAUUUUCCUAAGAUUUUACUCAACAGUUUGUUCUAAAUGAUAAAGAAAAUCUAAUUCCUCUAGUUUUCAUGUUUAUAGAACCACAGAGAAGAUUUUGAGCCAUUCAUUGAGGAUGAUGUUCCAUUUGCUGAAUAUUGCGAGUCCAUGGAGAAAGAUGGUACAUGGGCUGGCAACAUGGAAUUGCAAGCGGCUUCUCUUGUUACUAGAAGAAACAUUUGUAUUCAUCGGGCAAGUUCAUAUCUUUUUUAAUCAUGUUUAUAGCUAUUACAACUUGAGGAAAAUCUUGACUGUUGUUGAUUGGUAUAAAGUUUAAAAUCGCUAGUAAUUUUUUGAUUGGUAUAAAGUUUAAAAUCGCUAGUAAUUUUGUCCUCUUUUAAGCUUUUGAAAUAUGAACUAUAAGAUCAUUUUCUUUCCUUUCCCAGUACUUAUGUUUAUUUUGAGUAUAUUCGAUACCCGAGUCUUUUUUAGAUAAUUUAUCUCCCACUAACACUUAUUCAACUAGUCUAGUUAGAUCAUGCCAAAAGUCCUCCUGAUUUGGUCUUAAGUUGCACCGAUAAUAUUCUUCUUCUAGUUGCUUUUUGUUCACUAUGCUGUCUCCUAUUAAUUUUUCUUAUACAACUUUUUGUUUAACAUUUGGAUUUGUUUUGUUUUCCAAGCACUAGAUAUAUUGUCUUUUGUUUUCAGUUUGCCAGAUUUUUAUACUUUUGCUCCAUUUCAUCUGAGGAAUCAUGUAAUUCUUUGAUGUUUGUAAUAAUUAUCAUGAGAUUCUAUCUUUCAAGUUAGCGAUCGGUCUGUUUUGUUUGAAUAGAGGAGUUCAAAGAAGCAUUAAUGGCCUUUUCAUUUAAAUUAUCCCAACAGCAUCCUGUUGCAAUAUAAGCAAAAGCUACAAAUUAGAACUUCUACUGGGAUACAUAAGCUCAUUUCACUUUCCUUGGAAAAAGGCUCCUACAUUUUUGUAUAUCAAAUGCUUGGUUGUAGCUUUUUGAAGUAGAGAAGUUAUUUGAGAAGCUAGGCCAAACUGGUACUUAGCCACACGCAUCCUUAAUAUUUUGGAGACCUUUUAUCUUUUGAUCUUGUAAUCUUUUUUAUUUUUAAUUUUUUCCUAUUAUCAGCCAUUUUGCUUUACAUGGGUGCCGUGGCUUGUUUAGAAUGAUCUCUUGUUAUGUUUUACAUCUGUUUUAGUAAUUUAAGCUUCUUUUGAUUGAGUGGUCAUAAAUAUGUUUGAAUGCAGCUUAACUCUCCACGUUGGUACAUAAACAAUUUUAGCGGUCGUGAUGGUAGUAUGAUUCAUUUGUAAGUUUUUUAUCCUUGACUUUUGUUAUGCUCUAGUUUCCACCGAUCAAUGGGGUGAGUUAUGAAAAUACUUUUUAAAUGAUAUUUCUGAUACUCAAGGGUUUUAACUUUUAUAUUUCAUGUUCUUAAUGAAGUAUGAAACAUGUUCCAUUUCUCAGUUUCCAUUUGACGUUUGGUCCGUAAGCAAAAUGUAACAAGUUGGCAGUUUGUGGUUAACUUUUAGUGGCCGUGGAUGGAAAAUUUUCCAAAUAAUAAAGAAAAAGGAAAAAAUGCUUUAAAAACUAGGGAAAAUUGGGGGGAAAAAAGGAAACCUAAGGCGCCAUUUGGUAUUUUGUUUGUUUUUUAUUUUUUUAAAAUGACAUUUCUACAUAGAAAACUGCAGGUGUUGACAGUGGAUUGUUUGCAAUCCCUUUAUCCUAGAUGUUUAUUUGACAACAAAAAAUAAGAACUUGAAAACAACUUUUUUUUCGCUUCCAAGUUUUUUUUUUUAUUUAUUUUUAUUUUUUAAAGUUGUCAUCAUAUAUCACUUGGUCAGGGUACAUUGCAAACUAAUUAAUCAUGACAAUAAGAGGAAAAUCCUUUUUUCAAUACAUCAACUUAUAUAAAAUUAGUGUUUUAAAAAAUAAAAACAUGACAAUGAUGCCAAACGAGGCCUAAGUAUAAAAAUUAAUUUGGUAGAUAAAGUUGUAAUAAUGCUUUAUAUCUGUCUAUUGUCAUUCAAUGGCUUGUAACAUCUUUCUAUUCCCAUUCAAUAGUUUUAAAUUCUGUUGUGAUAUUUAUGUACUAUUGCCAUAGUUCUGGGUUUUGUUUGUGAAGGAGUCUUAUUAUUGCGUCUUGUGAUAGAUCAUUCUCAUUGAGAUGCUUUCUUGAGAAUGAUUUGAUGCAAGAUGUUUUUAGUUGCCAACAUUGGAAUUAUUUAUAGUCCUAUAUUCGCGAUGAAAUAAAACCAGGGUAGACUGAUUUAUUAUAUUGAUUAAUGCAGAUCUUACCAUUACGAUGAACAUUACAAUAGUGUUCGGCUGAAGGAAGAUUCUUGUCAAGGACCUGCUUUGCCGAUUAAUAUUAAGGUUUUCUACUUCAAGUUUUGAAUUCUGAUAUACUUAUUUUCACCACGUCCAUGAGAGUUGUACCGACUAACAUACUCUGACAAAGGAUUAGUAAUUUAAUCCAUGAAUGUAGCAAUUAAAUCCUUCCUAUAGUAUACUGUCUGGAAAAAGACUCCAUAUCAGAAUCAUGUUAUACAUGACGUUCUUUGAGGUUGGUCCUGGUCGCAGGUAAUGCUGACUUUGUGUUCUUCUAUUGAUCAAUUAAUUGGAGGGCUUAAUUGUUACGUGGAACAAAUUUCAGGGCUUAAAUUGCUAACAUUCGAUCUCUUUUGGACAACUGAAAUUGUGAUCAUACUUCAGGGACUAAAUUUGUAAUUAACUCUUCAAUGAAAUUGCCCGAUCUGAUAUUACUACCACUCCCAUGUAGGCUGAUGCAAAUAUUUCUAGAGCAACACAUAACCCUAAUAUUGAAUCGAAAAGAUCCUUUCAUAAAUCUCCCUGGGAUGUGGGCUCAGUUAAGCUGGUUGUGGCCGGAACAGGCUGUAAUAACAUUGACAAAGUUGAGCAGGUAAGAUUUUCUUUCAGGUUAAUGAAGUACUUGGGAAAUUAAUAGGUAAAAAGCAAUUCUACAUGAAAUUAAAUUAUCGGUCAUGUUGUAUAAAUAGGUUUUACGAGAAGUAGAUGGCGAUGUUGAUACUGCAAUUGAGUUUUUGAUUGCUGACCAGCAGGCAUCAGAUGGAAAUGACACUGAAGACAAAUCGUCUAAGGACAUCAAUCAUCAUGGUAACGCUUUACAUGUCUUGUGGUUUGUACAGAUAUUCUAUCAUCUUCGAAGUGUUAUGGUUUCCACAAAGUUUUAUUCUGUCGAAUGACGCCGGCCUCCACUCAAAUACUUGAUGGCAAAGAAAUAUCUAUUUUUUUUAUUGUUAUUAUUGUCAAAUGAAUGACUUACCCUUAAUUUUUCUCGUUGCAUUGUCAAUAUUAUAUAAUUAAUAAUAGUAAUCAAGAAUUAAAGUGCCCAUCGGCUCGGUCCGACGUAUCGUGCCAGUAAGAUAUUGGCACGAUACAGCCCCCGUGCUGUUAGCACAACUCAAAACCUUCUAUUUUUGAAAUUAUUAAGUAAUUUUCUCAAUAAAAUUUAAAAGAUUUGAUAAAAGUACAUAAUAAAUAAUUGACAUAUUUUUUGCUGCUAAAGAAAAUAAAUAUUUCAUGGCAUUACGUAUCGGCACACAUAUAUUUUUUGUGAUCGACAUGCAUCAGCACGGCCUGGCACGGACCGUGCCCUACCGUGCCGGUUAAGUUCCCGGCACGAUCUCGUGCCGUGGCACUUAAAUCCUUGAUAGUAAUAAUGAUAAUUUAUUUAUUUUUUUUAUUGUUGUGAUUGGUGAUUUAAUCUUUUCGUCCUUAAGUUGCAUGUAUUUGGUAACACAUGAUGUAUCCUCUAUGUUCUCUUAUCUCCGUUUUAUUUUCCAACCUAUAAUGUUGCUUGAACUGCUUGUCAGACCUUUUAUACUGUUUUAUAUAUUAAGCAUCUAGCGCAUAUAAGUUAGGCGGGCUUACUUCUUUUCUAACUUUUCCUAAAUGAGGCACCUUUCUCUAAUUCAAUUUAGUCUAAAAGAGAUCCUAUUCUUUUGAUGUAACAGUCCAUUCUAUAUAUUCGUAGAACUUAGUAUUUUCCUCAUAUAUGAGCAACCAAAAUUUUGUAACUACUUCCUAGAGGAUGAGUAUUUCGUCAACUUUCUUUUUCUUUUUCCUUUUUUUCCCUUUUCCCUUUGUUUUCUUUUUGGGGUUGAAGUGGGUUGUCCGAGUGAAAGCUCUUACUUUGCAAACAAACUAUGCUUCCUACAAUCAGCAAAUUGACAGAGAACAUGUCUGCACUCUAAAGAAAGGAACUAAAAAUUUAUUGAUGGCGUAAACUAAAUUGUCCUCUUCCAUAGAUGUAUUCGCAGUAUUACAUAAGUCACCUACUAAUUAUAAGUCGAGACCGUGAAUAUCUAUAUGGAAACAGAUAAAUAUUUUCAGUUCUCUCCAAUUUCCAUUAUCCUGCGAGUAAGUACCAUUACUAAAUUUUUCGUGGUCCUCACUCCUAUCAUCCCAGUAGACGAUGAUAAGGAGAAUUGCGAUCAACUGGAGGUGGAAAUAGUGGAGACAAAUAGCGAAAAAGGUGCAUCUACUAAUAAGGUAUUUACCAUGGCAGCAAGUAGAAAUCUUUCUUUUUUAAGUCAAUUUUGGACUUUUGUUUAGUAUUUUCUUUUUCUUUUUCUUGUGAAGAAAUUACCGAGAACUAGAGCAUGCUCUUGUGGAUCAACAAAGAAGAACAAGGCUUGUUGCGGUUCAACCACGACAAAAUCAUCUGCAGCACCUGUAAUGUAUUCUCCAUUUCUUCUUUCUGUUGAGAUGCUUUGAUCAGAGAUUGAAUACUUGUUUAUUUGUGUAUAGGGUAAAUCUUGUGCCGCAUUUCCACAUAGGUGACUUGUUGUUUCUUUUGCAUCAAUUAGGUGCCUUUUGUACCAGUCAGUCUCGUUAAAGUUGAUUAACGGUUGGGUUUUUAUCUAUUUAACGGGUUUCGAUUUUUGUUCGAGUCAGAUUUUGACCUAAACCUAGAAUGACUCAUUUAUUUUACCUAUAAAAUGGCCUUGUGCAAGUGCAUGACUGCAUGUACAAACGACAAGAUUUUUGGCAUAUGUUGCAGAUAAUAGGAUAUUACGAUGAAUUGCUUUAAAUUGAGACUAAUGGGAAGUAAGAAGUGAAAUUCUAUCUAACAUAAUUAUAUAUUAAAGUACUUUUAAAUAUUUGAAUACAAAAUAUUGAGAGACUUAACUUGCUAUUUCCUUUGCCAAACAUGUUCCCAGUAAAAGCAAAGGAGCUGCGAGUAAAGGGAAGAAAGGAAAGAUACAAAGUAAGAAAAAAGAAACAACAGGUGAAGAACCGCUUCAUCGAUCCGCACUGCUACCAGAUAUGGGAGCUCUUUGCAUUUAAUCAGUAGAUUCAAGGUAUUAUUUAAAAAACAAUUAAAUAUGCAAAAGGACAUCAAAGUUUUCUUUUUCCUUUUUCUUUUUUUAGCGGACUUGCUAAUUGAUUGUUCUGUAAGUGACUCAGGCACUUUUUGUUGGUU